ACAAUUUCAUCAGCAUACCUGCAUCUCUUACUCGACUCUCCAAGCUUGAAGAGCUUAUAUUGUCAAAUUGUAACAUCUGCACUCUUGGUGAAGCAGAUAUUCAUGGUCUAUCCUCUUUGAAAUGGCUUUUUCUUAACGGUAACAAUUUCAUCACCGUUCCUUUGCCUCUGACUCAACUUUCCAAGCUUAAAUUGCUUGCAUUAUCAAAUUGCAUGAAGCUUAACUCGUUGCCUCAGCUACCAACAAGUAUAGAAGAUGUGUGGCUAGAUGGUUGUUCUUCACUUGAAGUAGUUGCAAGUCCAUCAAAAGUAUGCAAUUUAGUGGAUUCGGCUGCUAUUUUACCCUUUAACUGCUUCAAAUUGGCUGAGAAUAGCAAUGCAUUAACACUGCUGAGAAAACAUCUUAAGGUCGAUUAAUCUCUCUUUUUCUCACUUACAAAAUCUCAUACUUGAGAAUUUAUGGUUUUAGUUACCUAACGACUUGUGUUUUAUUUUGCAGGCAUUUGCAAAUUCAAGAAAAAUGUUUGAUAUUAUCAUGCCAGGAAGUGAAAUCCCAGAAUGGUUUAGCCAACAAAAAGGUGACUUCUUUAUUAAGAUUCCCUUACCGAUUAACCUUCAAGAGGAUAGUGAAUGGAUUGGAGUUGCUUGUUGCUGCAUUUUUGUCAAUAAUGAUGCUUCAAGGGAUGUGGCCUUUAUCGACUGUGGAGCGUUAAUGUAUGGUAGAAACCGUCGGCAGAUUGAGAGGAGAGGCUAUUUGGUGGGUAAACGAUACAACAAGCCCAUAAUGAAAGAUCACAUUUUUCUUCGUUAUUGGUCGCGUGAUAAAUUAUAUCCAGUUUCCUUGAAGGAUAAAUAUGGUGGCUGUGAAACCAAUAAUUUACGGACAACAGAUUGCUUAGAUCAUAAACAUGAUGGGCUUCAUGUGUUUUUCAAUGGUCAUAGCCUUAAAGUGAAGAAGUGUGGUGUUAGAAUAGUGUAUGAGAAAGAUUUGGAAGAAAUGAAAGAGUUGCAGUGCGAUACCACUCAAUCUUCUCCAAAUUUUGAGCACAUCCACCAACACUCUGCUCACAACCAUGGAACAGUAGGUAGCAGUUCUCACAUAAAACGGAAACGUAAUAUCUAUGAGGAAAUGGUGGAAGAAGAGCCGCAACCAAAACGGAUGCAAAAUUUUUUCAAUUUUAUAAUGGGCCAAUCAGGGAAGAAGCAUUAACUGUGGUAAACUACUUAACCAUCCUUCUUACAUACCAAAAACUUAUAAAUCUUUUACUUAUAUUCAACAGGAGCUCAUAUUCCGUACAUAUCACAAUUGUUGAUAACAUAGUUUAUAUAUAUCAUUUAAAAUUUUAGUCGCUUAAUUCAUUCCUUUUUAUAUAACUGAAAUGUGUAAAUUUUGAUGGUUUCAUUUUUUAUUAAAAUUGUAUUUUCAUUAUAUAUACACUUACAUCUAUAUUUUAUUUGUAGGUUGAAAUAAAUAUAAUCAACUUGAGAUAGAAAUGUUGAGAAAAAUGGAUAGUUUCCGUGACAAAACAGGUAACAAUAAGGUGAAAUCCUUUAAUAAAGGCCAGAUCAUGAUUUUCAACUGUUGUGUUUUUUGUGAUAUUAACAAAAUUUUCUUGAUUUGAGGUAAGUUAAUAUACCGGUGAUAGAGAAAGGAUUAUAUGAAACUAUGGUUCCACGUCAUUCCUAUACAUUUUCAAUAGGAGAAUGACAACUCAAAAUUUUAGUAUUUUUAGUUGAAUUUGAAUUUGUCGGGAGGAAAAAGUUGAAAAUCGGGAGGAAAAAUCUGUUUUGUUAUUCUUCUAUUAGAAGGUGAUAUGAAUGAUUUAAAAUCACAGUUUCAUAAAAUCCCUUAAAAUCCCUUCUCACCAGUGAUGUAGAUGAUCUCAAUGCAACAAAAAUAACCUUGGUGUUUUAUGUUUGUCCCCUAGGCUAAUAGAAGUAUGAAAGUUUGGUCAAAGGAUCAUGCAAGUGAGGGACCAACAAAAGUCUUCAAGCUGAAAUGAAAGCGGACACUUUAGCAAUUAUAGGCUGGGAUGAAUUUAGAGAAAUAGAUUAUGUUAUUACAUAAUUAGUUGUUUUUUUACAUGUAAUGUAAAUUAUAGUAUUUUAAAUCGACCUUUUGAAUUUGUAAUGUAAAUUCAAAUAGUAAUUUAAUUGUAAUGUAAAUAAAACCUUUUAAAUUAGGCAUAAUGACAAAAAAGGUUCUUAGUGUUUAUAAAAUUUGACAAUUUAACCCUUAUUUUUUUAAGCAAUUUAGCUCUUAACAUUUUAUUUUGAGUCAAAUUAUGGAUUUUUUAAUGCAAAAUGCUUAUUGAACUAUUAACAGUGUUGACUUGACAUGAAUAGUGAAUUCAUUCCUUUUUACAAAUUUUAGUCACUCAAUUCAUUCCUUUUUACAUAAAUGAAAUGUGUACUUUUUUUUAAUUUUAUUAUAUAUAUAUAUAUAUAUAUAUAUUAACUUACAUGUAGGUUGAAGUUAAUCUAAUCAACUUAAUACUGAAAUAUUAAAAAAAAUGGAUAUCUUUUGUGACGAAGCAGGCAAAAAUAAAAUGAAUCCUUUAAUAAGGAUUAAUCAUUAUUUCAGCUGAGUUAAAAAUCAUUUCAUUUUUAUUAGAGAUUAAUUUAUGUGUUCAAUUUAAUCAGUCAAAAUUAUUUUUAUAUAUUGGGAAGAUUAAAUAUAAGUCCUUAAUAGUACUUAAAUAGGUUUAAUUCCUUCUAAUAAAAGUAACAUUUAAAUUUCAUGGCUUGAAGUACAAAUAAUAGUAUUCCAACUCUUUUAGUUUAUAUUGUUUAUACAGUAUUUAUAUUUAAACAUUUAUUUUUAACACUGAUUCAAACAUGAAAAUAAAGUAUGCUCUUUUAAUUAAUUGGAAAAUAUUUUUUGCGUGUGAGGCUUAUUCAACCUUUUUUUUUUUUUUACUUCAAUAGAUUUAUUUUUUGUUCUUGUCUAAUUUCCCUUUUCUGUUCUUGACAGUGGUUGUGUUUUCUGUAAUAUCAACAAAACUUUCUCAAUUUGAGGUAAGUUAAUAUACCAAUGAUAAUGAUGAUAUCAAUGCAACAAAAAUAAUUUUGGUGUUUUAUGUUUGUCCCCUAGACCGGUAGAAGCAUGGCUCAAAGGAUAAUGCAAGUAAGGAAUCGACAAAAGUCAAGUUGAAAUGGAAGUCAACACUUUCGCAUUUGGAUGAAUUUAGAAAAUUACGAUUUCAAAAAAUAGAUUAUGUUAUUAUAUAAUUUGUUAUUUUUUACUUGUAAUGUAAUGUAAACUAUACUAUUUUAAAUGGGGUUUUUGAAUUUUUUGCUUGUAACAUAUAAAUUUAAUUGUAAUGUUAAUAAAACCUUUUAAAUAGGUAUAAUGACAAAAAAAUGUUCUUAGCAUUUAUAAGAUUUUAUUUUGAGUUAAACUAUAAAUUUUUUUAUUGCAAAAUGCUGAUUAAACCGUUGACGUGAUAUGAAUAGUAAACUCUUUUUAAGGUUGGUCUCAAUUGGAUCAUCUUUCACAAUAGCCUUAUUUAUGUUUAUUAUGUUUUCUCAUUUGUUUCUAAUUUAUGAUGGUCUUCAACAGCUCUUGUAUAAGUUGAAAUGCGGCUGAGAUGGGAUUGCAUGUGGGAUUCUCGAGGGUGGAGAUCGAAGGAGACUCCUUAUCUGUGAUUCGGAAGCUGCAAAUAAAGGGAGUUGAAAGGUCAGUGAUAGGAGCCUAUAUCUCAAGUAGAGGGAUAUCAAAUCUGUGUCUUUAAACAUGUGCCAAAACAAGCAAACGGAGUUGGACAUCUAUUGGCUAUAGAGGGAUUAAAGAGAGAUGAAGAAACUUAUCUUGUUGGUGCGGUUCCUUCAUACACGAAAGUGGCAGCGGAAGAGGACCGUCAACAGUUGGGCCCACUAUGUCCAGCAGGUCAAAGAUCCACUGCUUAGAAAGAAGAUAAAAUGGGAUUUUACUGUGGGCAAACAGAUCGGAGAAUAGAUGGACUACUGGGUUUCUCAGUUUCAACGGAAGAUUGGUGUUUUGAAGUGAUGAAAUGCAGAGUUUAGCCAGACCUGAAGGGUUUCUGUUGAAAAAGACAGCAGCAACUAAGCAAAAUUCAAACAGCCAAGACUAAAGCUCAUUAACAGCAAAACAAAACAAAAAGAACAAACUGAAAAUCCAAAGAGAAGCAACAAGUAACCGAAUGAGAAAGUCCUAGCUUUCAUUUCCAUUUCAAAAUAUAAAGGGGUUACAAAAAUAAUAAUAAUAAGUUAGUUACCUAAACUGUAACUGCUCUUAACAAAUUUGGCAAGUUGCCAACUAAAAUAUUACAAAAGAAAAGCUGAAAAAAUUCAGCUGUUACAUCCAUCAAUUUCAAAUCUAAAAAUAUUAGCUUUAGAUAUCAAGCAACUUGCCAACUUGUUAAUAUAAAAAAAAUACAAAAUUUAAACAAAAGAAAGUUGCUUCUAGUUCAAUCUUCAAACAGACAUGCUGCUGCUGCUCACGAUGCUGGUAGUUUGUUGCAUUGCAGACCAAUGCUCAACACUCCUCCUUGGACUGUAGGCAACAAACACCAAUCGAAUCUCGUAAGAAUUCAAACCUGAUUGUGCCAAGAGGCUUUGUCAAAAUGUCAGCCAAUUGAUCUUGUGAGCUGCAAUGUAUAAGACACACUUCUUUGGAUUGAACAACUUCUCGAACAAAGUAAAACUUGAGCUUAAAAUGUUUGGUUUUUCCAUGAAAAACAGGAUUUUUGGAGAUGGCAACUGCUGACUGAUUAUCCACCAUAAUUUCAGUAGGCUCAAGCUGUUCUUCAUUCAAAUCACAUAGCAACUUCCUAAGCCAAAUGGCUUGAUUCACUGCUGCAGCUGCUGCUAUGUAUUCUGCUUCAGCAGUAGACUAAGCAACAGUUUGUUGCUUCUUUGAACUCCAACUGAAAACUCCCGAACCAAGUGUAAAGAAGUAGCCUGAAGUACUUCUCAUAUCAUCAACUGAUCCACCCCAGUCACUAUCUGAGUAGCCAGUUAAUUUCAGCUCACUUCCUUUCUUGAACAUUACACCAAACUUCAAAGUACCUUUGACAUACCUGAGUAUUCUCUUUGCUGCUUUCAAAUGAGUUGUAUUGCAGCUAUGCAUGAAUCUAGACAGUAGACUAACUGAAUGCAUAAGGUCAGGUCUGGUUGCUGUCAAGUAUAGUAAACAACCAAUCAGGCUUCUAUACUCCUUUUCAUCUACCUUUUCUUCAUUUCCAAAGCUGCUUAGUUUCGAUCCCACAUCUAAUGGUGUGCUCACUGGUUUGCAGUUUUCCAUAUGAAACUUAGUGAGAAUUUUCAAGGCAAAUGCAUGCUGGCUAAUAAAAAUGCCUUGAUCAGACUGGUCUACUUCCAUACCAAGGAAGUAAGUCAUGAUUCUCAAGUUUGUCAUGUCAAACAUGUCUUGCAUAUUCUUCUUGAACUCCUGAAUCAAAUUGACCCUGCUUCCAGUCACAAAUAGAUCAUCCACAUAUAUUGAGACAAUCAGCAAAGUCUCAUCUUUGGACUUCUUUAUAAACAAAGUUGGCUCACUCAAACUUUUCUCGAAAUUGAGCCUAGACAGGUAAGCAUCUAUCUUGUCAUACCAGACUCGAGGAGCCUGUUUUAGUCCAUAGAGUGCCUUCUUCAGCUUGUAAACCUUGUCCUCCUUUCCUUGGACUUUAAAUCCAUCAGGCUGUUCAACAUAAAUUUCUUCUUUAAGAAAACCAUUCAGGAAAGCUGACUUGACAUCAAGUUGAUGGACCCUCCACUGCUUUUGUGCUGCGAAGGCAAACAGAAGCUUUAUGGUAUCCAGCCUUGCCACUGGAGCAAAUGUCUCCUCAAAAUCAAUGUCAAACUGUUGAUUGUACCCUUUCACCACAAGCCUUGCCUUGUGUUUGUUCAAAGAGCCAUCAGCAUUGAAUUUGGCCCUGAAAACCCAUUUGACACCUAUGACCUUCUUCUGAUCAGGUCUGUCUACCAGAUCCCAAGUGUCAUUUUUGUGGAUCAUGUCAAUUUCAACCUCCAUAGCCUUCUUCCAGCUCUUGCUUCUUGCAGCUUCUUCAUAGCUUGAAGGCUCAACAAUGGCCACAUUGCAUCUUUGGUAGAUAUCAGCAAUAGACCUGGUCCCCCUCACAGGAGCAUCAUCUACAUUGGCAUUACUGACUUCAUUUUCUGCCAAUUCCAGAUUGCUGUCAAUCUGCUCUUCUUCAAACUAACUUGUGUUAGAGCCAUCUAGACUCCAAAACCUUCCUUCAUCAAAUUUGACAUCCCUGCUUACCAAAAUCUUCUUGGUUGAAGGAUCAAAUACUCUGUAGCCCUUCUUGCAGCUACUGUAGCCAACAAAUAUACCAGGAACUGACCUCUUCUCGAGCUUGGUUCUUCUUUCUGCAGGGACAAGUACAAAACACAUGCAACCAAACACUUUUAAAUGGGAAACAGUUGGUUUGAGAUCAUACCAUGCUUCAAAAGGAGUUUUAUCAUUCACAGCAUGUGUUGGUAGCCUAUUGAGCAGGUACACUGAGGUGUUGACACCUUCAGCCCAAAAAAUUCUUGGAAGCUUGCUUUGAAACAACAAACACCUGGUCAUGUUCAUCACUGUUCUGUUCUUCCUUUCACAUACUCCAUUUUGUUGAGGAGUAUACACUGAGGUCAAUUGAUGAUGAAUCCCAGCCUGCUCACAUAGCUUCUGAAAUAUUUCAGACAAGUAUUCAGAACCAUUGUCUGUCCUCAAGGCCUUAAUCCUGCAGCCUGUUUGAUUUUCUGCCAAUGUCUUGAACUUUCCAAAAACUUCAAACACUUCUGACUUCUGUUUCAUGAAAUAAACCCAGCAAAAUCUGGUCAGAUCAUCAAUAAACAGUAUAAAAUACUUACUGCCAUUCAGUGAAGGCGUCUUCAUUGGUCCACAGACAUCUGAGUGCACCAACUCAAGUCUUUCUUGAGCCCUCCAUGCUUGGUUUACUGGAAAAGGCAACCUGGCCUGCUUACCAAGCUGGCACACUUCACAAACAGACUCAUUUGCAUCAACCUUAAUCAUGUCCUCUGUCAAACUUAUAUUGUGUAGCAAAUUGAGUGACCUGAAAUUGACAUGGCCAAAUCUUCUAUGCCACAUAUCAGCAUUGUCAACUGAACUUGUAUAGGCUCUUCUCUCAAGUUGGCUCACAUCCAGCAUGAAACACCUAUCUGCCAUUGGUGCUGAAACAACUUCUCUACCAAGAACAUCAUUAAUAACACAAGAAUCAUUCUUGAAAACUAGAGAGUAGCCUUUCUUAACCAGCUGACCUACACUAAGUAGAUUUUGAUCUAUUUCAGGUACAUAGAGCACAUCUGUAAUAACCUUUUUACCUGAACCAGUGUUGAUCACAACAUCACCUCUGCCUUUAGCUUCAAUCAGAUUCUCAUUGCCUAUCCUGACCUUUGAAGUAAAACUCCUGUUAAGGUCCUUGAAUAGGCUCUCAUCUGAUGCCAUGUGAUGUGAGCAGCCACUAUCCACAAGCCAACUGCAUUUGGAUUUGCUUGUGGUUGCAGAACAUGAGGCAGUGAAGACAUGCUCCUCCUGAGCUUGAAGAUCUUCAGCAGUCUUGGCUUGUACUGGCAGAGUUUGUGCCUUUUCUUGAUUUCUACAAAUCUUUUCAUGGUGACCAUACUGCUUGCAACUCUUGCAUUGGAUGUUUGGUCUGUUCCAGCAAUACUUCUCUAAAUGAUUAGUCUUCUUGCAGUGAACACAUGGUGGAAACCUCCUUCUACCAGCAUCUUUCUUUGAUCUUUCCCUCUUUUCAAACCAAGGCUUCUUAGCUUUCUGACUUGAGCUGGAGCCUUCUCUGACCUUUGCUUGAAAAACACCUUCAGGACUCUCCUCCUGCCUACUUGCUCUUCUCUGCUCAAGUGCAUAGAGUGAGUUAGCCAACUCAGACAAAGAAAUGAUUGUGAGAUCUCUCGAGUCCUCUAAUGAGCAGAUUUUUGACUCAAACCUUUCAGGUAAGGUGGUAAUAACCUUCUCAACAACCCUGCUGUCACUGAAAUCUUCUCCAAGGAGUCUGAUAUUAUUGACAGUAGCCAUAAUUCUAUCAGAAUAUUGCUUGAUAGUUUCUGACUCCUUCAUCUUCAAAUUUUCAAACUCCCUUCUAAGAUUUGUAGCGACCUAAAAAUUUGGGGUACGGGCGCUAGUCGAAAUAAUUAUUGAAAAUUUAAAAACAGCGUCUCGAUUUUAUUUGCAAAAGGAGUUGCCACUGAUCUUUUUUUAGGUGUGAUCGGACACCUAAUAAAUUCUAUUUUUAGAAGAAAAAUUUAUUUUUAAAUUUUCCUAAAAAAGAGGUAAUUUUAGGUCUGCGUGAAAAUCCAGAUAAAAUUAAGGUUCGGGAGUCGGUUACGCGCGAGGAAGGUAUUAGCACCCUCGCGACACCCAAAAUUGGUAUCUCGUUAAACGCACGUCGUCUUAAUUUUCAAAAAUACGAGUUCAAUUUAAUAUUUACUCGUGAUCCAAUUGAAACAUGAGAAUUUUUUUAAAACACGAGAAUUUUGCAGCACCAAUUUUUAAAAAAAACGAAAAUUUUUGAAACAUGAGAAAUUUUUUUAAAAACACAAAAAUUUUUGAAACACGAAAAUUUUAAAAAACACGAAAAUUUUUAAAACACAGCAAUUUUUGAAACACGAUAAUUUUUCAAAACACAAAUUUUUUUAAAGAACAUGACAAUUUGUGAAACACUAGAGUCAUUGAAAACACGGAAAUUUGUGAAAAAACAAAAAUUUAUGAAACACAGAAAUUUAAAAAAAAACACAGAUUUUUGAAACACCGAAAUUUUUGAAAACACGAAGAUUUUUGAAACACGAAAAUUUUUGAAAAUACGAAUUUUUUUUAAAUACAGAAAUUUUUAAACACGGGGAUUUUUGAAACAUGGAAUUUUUUUAAACGUGAAAAUUUUUGAAACACAAUUUUUUUUAAGAAGUGCCGUAUUUAACACGAAUCAAUAAUAUUCAUCCCUACAUGGCGAUGAAAUCAUCGAAUUAGUGCCAAAUCGAUUCAACUUAAUAUUUAAUCGUGAUUUUAUUAAAACACGAGAAUUUUAAAAAAACAUGAGAAUUUUAGAAUAUUUUCGAUUUUUUUUAAAAGGGCGUAUCGUGUUUAACACAAACCGAUGGUAUUCACCCAACAUAGCGAUGAAAUCAACAAUUGAAUGUUAAAUCGAUUCGUUGCCUUAUUUAUUAAAAUUACUUAAAAUAAAAUAAAAUUGAAAUUGAAUUAAAUUAAAAAUAUAAAUGCAAAAAUAUAAAAAUGCAUAAAAGUACAAAUAAUACUAAAACGGAAUAGCAUAAAAAUACGGGUAUUAAAUUAAAAGUGAAAUAAACGAAAUUACCAGAAAUAUCCAAAACACGAGCUUAGUCGAACGGGUUACCAAAUUGAACCCUUUUCUUUUUUUCUUUUUUCUUUUUCUUUUUUUCUUCCUUUUUUUUCUGCUGCUGGGCCGGCCUGUUGGACUGCUGGGCAAACUGGGCCUGGCGCUGUGGGCCUUCUGGGCUGGUCUGGUGCUGCCUAGAUGCCUGCUGGGCCUUUGCUGGAAAUGGGCUGCUGUUGGCCUGCUAACAAAAAUGGCCUGCUGUGUUUUUUUUUGCUGUUUGCUGUUUUUUUAGGGGCUGCUCUUUUUUUGGGCUGCUGGGCUGCUGUUUUUUAUUUGGGCUUCUCGGAUGAUGCGGGUCGGGCCUGGUGCGGGUCGGGUCGGGUCGACNNNNNNNNNNNNNNNNNNNNNNNNNNNNNNNNNNNNNNNNNNNNNNNNNNNNNNNNNNNNNNNNNNNNNNNNNNNNNNNNNNNNNNCUUUUUUCUUUCUUCUUCGGGUCACCCCUAGCCCCCACGCCGUCGCCGACCCCCCCUCCGUCCGGUGUUGCGGUGGCCGACGCGACUCCCUUCUCCUCUCUUCCUCCCUUUCUUUUCUCUUCUCUUUUCUUCCUUUUUCCUUUGGGUUGCUGUUUUUUUUUGCUUAUUGCUUUUUAUUUUCUCUUUGCUUGUGUUGUAGGUGUUGGGACGGUAGUGGCGGUGCUGUCGUGGUGGUGGGGACGGUGGCGCGCGGUGGAGCUGCUGUUUUCCUUGUGUUUUGCUGCCUUUUUUUUCAUUUUUUCUCUGCUGUUUUUUUGGUUUUUUUGGCUGCCGAAAAAAUCCCCCCAUUUCUCUCCAAUUUCCUCCUUUUUAAUCCCCUAAUUUUGUCAUCUUCUUCUUGUUUGCAGGUGGCAGAGGAGGGCAUCAUGGCCUAGGGAGGCUGCUGGAGUAGCUCGGCUGGGGAAGGGUACGUUCGGCUGCUGAUUGCAGCGAUUUGACAAGUCCAGAAGGACUAAAUUGCAUGGGAUGCAAAGCUUCUGCGGUAAAAGUGUAAUUUUAGCAAAAAUAUGGGCCAAAAUGUAAUUUCUUGAGAGUUUAGGGGUCAAAGUGAAAUUUUUAGAAAGUCUAAAGGUCGAAAUGUAAUUUUAGAAAGUUUUGGGGUUAAAAUGUAAAUUUUGGAAAAGUUUGGGGUCAAAAUGUAAAUUUUGAAAAGUACAGGGGUUAAAAUAUAAAAAAAACUUUUUUUGAAACACGAAAUUAAUCCCGGACAAAAUUCAGUGAUUACAAGAUUAAUUACUUGUUGCUGCCUUGUCUUGUUUGAUCCCAUGAACUCCUCUUUCAGCCUAUCUCAUGCUUGUUUGGGUGAGUCACAGGCCAUGAUGCGAGUAAAAAUCAUAUCAGACACUCCAUUCUGUAGGCAGGCCAUGGCUUUAUGCUUCUUGGCUCGCUCCUCACCAUGUUGCCUGAUCUGAGCAAUGGUUGGAUUUGCUCUCAAUAGUGGUGGCUCGACAUCAUUUUCAACUGCACUCCACAGAUCAAGUGCUUGGAGGUAAGUUUUCAUUUUAACUACCCAAAUGUGGUAGUUUUCUCCAGCAAAAACUGGUGGUGGAGGAGGUGCAAAGCUCAUGUUGUUGGAACUGGUUUGACAAACACGAUUUUUGAGUUUAUUUUGAAACAAAAAAAUUUAAACAACAGAGGUCCUCAAAGACAAGAGGCUCUGAGAAAAAGACAGCAGCAACUAAGCAAAAUUCAAACAGCCAAGACUAAAGCUCAUUAACAGCAAAACAAAACAAAAAGAACAAACUGAAAAUCCAAAGAGAAGCAGCGAGUAACCGAAUGAGAAAGUCCUAGCUUUCAUUUCCAUUUCAAAAUAUAAAGGGAUUACAAAAAUAAUAAUAAUAAGUUAGUUACCUAAACUGUAACUGCUCCUACCAAAUUUGGUAAGUUGCCAACUAAAAUAUUACAAAAGAAAAGCUGAAAAAAUUCAACUGUUACAUCCAUCAAUUUCAAAUCUAAAAAUACUAGUUUUAGAUAUCAAGCAACUUGCCAACUUGUUAAUAUCAAAAAAAUACAAAAUUUAAACAAAAGAAAGUUGCUUCUGGUUCAAUCUUCAAACAGACAUGCUGCUGCUGCUCACGAUGCUGGUAGUUUGUUGCAUUGCAGACCAAUGCUCAACAGUUUCUUCCACUUGCAUCGGAAAGAUCUAGCAGACAUUUUGGUGGUUAUCAACAAAACAGAGAAGGCAUCUGAAGGGUUUCGCUUUCUCAGAUGUCUAGGGAAAAGGAAAGUCUGCCUGGGUGUUUGGAUUAUCCUGCUUUUAUUUAACGUUUGUUUAUUGCAUAUUUUCUGUUUUGUCUAGGCUCUAAAUGAUUUGGAAUUUGUUUUAUUAAUAUAAUCCAGCCAUUCAUAUUUCAAAAAAUAAAAAUAAUAAUGGGUCCAAACCUGAUCAAUUCACUAGACUACACACAAACAUCAAAUCUUGAACUUCUGAUUUUUGAAAGGUUGUACCAAAUUAGUGGAUGUUCAUCCAUCAAUUAGAGUGCUUAGGAACCUUAAACUUUUGAAUUUAAGAGAUUGUAAAAGUCUCAAGAGUCUUCCGACUGAAAUUGGAAUGGAAUCUCUAGAAACAUUAAUUCUUUCGGGUUGCUCAGGUCUUGUAAGGUUUCCGGAGAUUGAUGGGAAAAUGGAACGUCUAAAAACUCUAGAUCUUUCUGGUUGUUAUAGAGUGGAAAAUUGAUCGGAGAAUUUGCAGCAAGCAAAGUUUUUGGAGCUCGACUUGAGUGAAACAGCCAUAGCAGAACCACCAUCCUUUAUUUUUCAAUUUAAAAAUCUUAAAGUUCUUUCUUUCAAUGGGCGCAAGGGACCAUCAUAUAAGUUACUACCAAAUUUGCCUUCUCUUUUCAAGGUAAUCCAAGGAAGAAGGACGAAUCCCAUGGCUCAGAUGUUGCCUUUGUUGUCAGGUUUGAGUUCUUUAAGAGAGCUAAAACUAAGGGACUGCAAUCUUUGUGAAGGAGAUCUUCCACGUGAUAUUUAUGGUCUAUCCUCUUUGUGGCCUCUUGAUCUUAGUGGUAACAAUUUCAUCAGCAUACUUGCAUCUCUUACUCGACUCUCGAAGCUCGGAAAUCUUAUAUUGUCAAAUUGCAACAUGUGCACUCUUGGUGAAGCAGAUAUUCAUGGUGAUAUUUCUGGUAUAUCCUCUUUGAUACGUUUUGAUCUUAGUGGUAAGAAUUUCAUCACCAUUCCUUUGGCUCUUACUCAACUUUCCAGGCUCAAAUUGCUUAAAUUGUCAGGUUGCAAGAUGCUUAAAUCGUUGCCUGAGCUACCAACAAGUAUAGCAGCUGUGCAUAUAGAUGGUUGUUCUUGACUUGAAGUAGUUGCAAGUCCAUCAAAAGUAUGCAAUUUAGUGGGCUGUGAUGACAUUAGUGCCAUUAACUGCUUCAAAUUGGCUGAGAAAAUCAAUGCAUUAACUCAAAGUUGGGAAUUCCGGUAAUUGCAAAAAUGGAAGUGGUGGAAAAAGAGAAAACACUACCAUCUGUGGAGUUCUUGAAUUGGAUUGGAUUCUUGUAGAAGAUGUGACCUUUUGUAUGGGUUGUAAAAUUAGUCAGUUUAAAGAGCCCACUUGAACCUACGCCCGCAAGUUCGCCAACAUUCAAGUAACCAUUGAAACUGAAGUACUGACCCUGAUUGAUAUCUGAAGAUGCAGGAGGAAAAGCAACACACGCAUGAUCAAACACACAAAAAAAUAUAUACAAUAGACAUUUAGAUAACCAAUCAGUUAGGUAAUGAGCAGCCUUGAUUUCAUAAUCAUCAAACCCAACAUUUAGAUCAUACAAAGAGAGAAAUUUUAUAAGGGUACAGUAGAACCUGUCUUUUGUUGACUGAGCUGCAGUGAAAAUGCAUUCGCAAGAACGAUCUUUUCGAUUCUAAGGAGCUCAUAGAGAAGUAUUCCACGAAUAUAUUUGAUUUUCAACCUGGAAAAAAAAAUAAUUACUACUAUAAUUAUAAUUGACAGCAAUAAAUGCACGUACACUUUUUCAACAAAUCAUAAGGCAUGGUACGAGGUAAACUCCAAUUUGAAUUCACAUCCCUUAGAACCCCUUCAAUCACCGUGACACCAAUAUUAAUGUCGGUUGUCUCAUUCGAAUUAAGCUGAACCCAACCUUCCUUGGGAUGUCACCAUUGCUUUGCAGCUCUGGAGAUCAUUGUAACAAAAAUAUUAGAAGACCCUAUGUGAGUUGAACUUUUAGCCCAAGAUAGACUAGACAUAACAACUUCCCCAUUGCUGUUACUUGCAUCUUUAAACACAAAAGCAUUACGACACUUCCAAAGACAUCAACAAAUAAUAGGAAACAAAGUCGACCAGUCUAUUCCCUCAACAUCAAUCUGCCCAAUAUUCUUUAAUUUCCAAAUAAGUUAAUCCUUAAUAUGCAAAAACCUGCUAAGAUCAUCUGGAACAAGAUUAUUCCAAACAUUAAUCUUAGCAAAAGAAAAAUCCCUCAAAACUUGUAUGGUUGCCUCAGCCUGCUCACAUCUUGAGUAACUAGUGUCAGCUGUCACAUGUCAUCAAGCUCUCUCCUCAUUCGCUAACAAAUGUCCCUUAAAAUGAAUUCAAAGAAAAUGUCUUAUUCAUUGAAGACCUUUGCAUUUCCUGACCAUAUUCCAAUCCUCACUUGCCACAUCCCAUUCAUCUCUUGCAACUGAUCUGUAAGUUGUUGCCUCUCAGGAUGUUGGAGUUCGACAAGGACCCAUUGAGGUUCGACCAGAACCUAGGUAUACCCCCACCUUAUAAAACAAUGACAAUCCUUGUAUGUAAUUGUAGAGUGGUGAAGCAUGAUGUACUGUAAUUUGAAAUGUUAAAUUAGGCUUUCCUGUAACAAGCUUGUUCUCAAGUAGUUUAAGAGUAUUUUUAUGUUUUUUUAUCGAUUUUUAACUUUUAGUUUCAAUGCUAACUUUUAUCACAUUUUAUCACUUUUGAAACCCAAAUUGAUAAAACUAUGUCAUUAGAGGUCUAAUGAUUAAUUUGAGCUUGUAUAAGGAGGUGAUUGAGGCUAAACAUCAAGGAGGAAUUCAACUGUUGCGGAGGACGCAACACAAGUGAUUCACAGAGUUUAGAAUUUGAUUUAAAAGAAUUUGGAUGCGUAGAAGAGUAUACGGAAAAAGACAAAUGAAUCAUAUAAUUUUGUUGUUACAGAUUUAAGGCAUGUUCUAAAAACUCUAAAAUUUUUAUUCAAAGUUUUAUAAUGUAGUGAUUAAACAAAGCAUGGAUUAAUUGUAUUUUAAUUAAAUUGUUUUUAAAAAUUAAAUUGUUUUUUAGAUCCUAAUGGAAUUUUUAUUUUUUAUAUUGAAGUCCUUACUAUGUAGAUUUCAAUUGAUUCAAUCUGUUCCUUAAUUUAACAUUCCAAAAUGAAUAGUCGUAUGAAUUUUUAUUUUUCAUAGCUCUACACUAAAGUUUUAAAAAUUUUGCCUUAUAUUAUCACUAAUAGUCGUAGCAAUUUAAAGAAAAUGAAUAUUUUUUAAAAUUUUCCCUAAUAUUAAUUAUAAAAACUAUAAAAAAUAAAAUAAUACAUUUUAAUUAAUACAAACAAUCAACCCGAGCAUCACAUGUAUAAAGAAAACAAGAUGCAUAAUAAAACAUUUAAUUUACCACUCAACUAAAGUUUUAUCUUGAUAACUCUAAACAUUUUAAUUUUAUUAUACACACCUACCUCCAUCAAUUGUAUAUAUCUAUAUAUUAUAAUUUAAGCUCCUGAUUGAGUUGAGCAACAAUUUAGCUAAAAAAAUUAUAAAAAUAUCAUUCUGUAAUUAAAUAAGUUAUCGAGAAUAUUUUAAUCUUUUUAUUUAAAAAUAAUAAAAAUAUGCAUAAAAUAAUUUUUUAAAGUGAGCUUCCUUUCCAAAAUAUAAAUGAGACCUAUCAGUUAUUAUUAUGUAAAUAACACUAUAUUUGAAUUCAUUAUUUAAAUAUCAAUAAUUGAUAUUUAAAUAAUGAUUAAUAUACAAUAUUCGUCAUUGUUGACGUUAAACACCAAUAGUACAUGUAAUUAAGAAAUUAACAUAUGAAGGACUUCGGACAACCAUGCUUUAUAUUGUAAUAAAAAUAGAAAGGUUAUGCAUGUGACCACCUUUCUAUUUAAAUUGGAGCGAAACUUUUGAUGAGCUGUUCAUAUCAGAAUUAAAUAUGUCAAAAUAAUCCAAUAAGGUUAAAUAAAAAUUAAAUCUUUUUGAAUACCGUAUAUAAAAUUAUAUUUUUAUCAAUUAAAUUUUAAUUUUUAAAUAAAAUCUUUAAAUAUUAUUAUGCCACGUAUUCAAAUAUAAUAAAAAUUUAUUAAUAAUGUAAAUUGAGUUAAGAGAUAAAAGAAUAUAGAGAUUGUGCUGGAAAUGAAAACCCAAAUUACAUAAUGAGAAGGAAAGAUGGAACUAUCAAAUUCCUUAUUAUUUAUAGGAAAUUAGGGAGAAUAAGGAAAAGAAAUUGAUUCAUGAAGAGAUAAGGAGAUUGGCGUGGCAUUGGUGACUUACAUGCAUGUCCCUAUUGCCUAUUCAACAUUAGAUUCCUUUAGCUACUAUUCUCCUAAUGCAAACAAUGAAGUCCCCAGCGAUAACAGACAAUUCUACAUCAAUGCAUGCGCCCGUUUUCUUCCCCUUCGCCUAAUUUCCCCUUCCAAUUUCCAUCGCAUGCAUGCUCUUUCAUUUUAUCUUCAAACUUCUUAUCUCCUUAUCUCUUCAUGAAUCAAACUUUUUAUUAUAUUUGAAUACGUGGCAUUAUAAUAUUUAAAGAUUUUAUUUGAAAAUUAAAAUUUAAUUGAUAAAAACAUAAUUUUAUAUAGGGUAUUUAAAAAGAUUUAAUUUUUAUUUAACCUUAUUUGAUUAUUUUGACAUAUUUAAUUCUGAUAUGAACAACUCAUCAAAAAUUUCGCUCUAAUUUAAAUAUUUAUCUAAAGAUUAUUUACAAUAUAAAACAUACAUCAACUACUUUUUUAUUCGAUUAAGCUUUUUAAUUUGUUAUGCAUGUGACCACCUUUCUAUUUUUAUUACAAUAUAAAACAUUAUAAAAAUCUUAAAAUAAAAAGGAAAAACCCUAUUAUACAAAACCCUAUUACUCGAUUCGGAAGGCUUUAAAAUAUAUUCCUAAAUGACAUUGGCAUGAACAGCCACAGUAUGCUACUUAUGAUGCUUAAAUAUAUAUACAAAACCCUAUUACUCGAUUCGGAAGGCUUUAAAAUUUUAUUUAAUUUUACAAUCAUAAUUUUUAAAGAAAAACCCGAUACUUUUCCACUUCACCUACCGCGAGAAACAAAUGUUUCUGUAAUUGUUAUUGAAGGAACGGUGUUUCUCUCGGCUGUCAACUCAUUAGGAGCGCCCACUUCAUUUGAUACUGCUGGGAAUUCUCGAACUUUGAUAACAGAGCUGAUGUCAUCGGGCAAUGAAGCAACACCGUCCAAAUACGAUAUAACGCUGGACAUGCUAGGCCUAGCCGCUGUCACCGGGUGUGAGCAAAGCAACCCAAGCUUCAACACCAACUCCGCUUGUUGUCCCACAAAUGAUCUCUUCCCCAACCUCUUAUCAAUAGUCGCCAAAAUGUCUCCUUUAUCCCAGCAAUCCUUUAUCCAGUCAGCAAGAAAUGCUUCCUCUGGUGCCGUUUGUGGUUCGAUCGGCUUUCUACCACAGGCAACUUCAAGCAUGAAUAUUCCAAAAGCAUAUAUAUCAGUGCUUGUGUUUGCUUGCCCGGUUCUUGCGAGCUCAGGAGCCAUGUAACCGAGCGUGCCUGCUACAUGAGAGGUUUGAGGAUCAUUUCCAAGGUCGCAUAGCUUUGCCAUCCCGAAAUCUCCUAGUCGGGCGUUCAUUUCACUGUCUAUCAGCACAUUGGCAGGCUUGAUAUCUCUGUGAAUGAUGACUUGCACCCAUUGCUGGUGCAGAUACAACAACGCGGAAGCUACGUCCUUGAUGAUCUUAAACCUUUGUGUCCAAUUAAGGCUGCUAUUAGGUUGGUAGUAAAGAAACUUGUCAAGGCUUCCAUUAGGCAUGUAGUCAUAAACCAAAAGCAACUCGUGCUUGCGCUUGCAAUAACCGAGAAGUCGAACCAAAUUCGGAUGCCUGAGGUGACCGAUGGUUGCAAUCUCAGCCACGAAUUCUCUCAUACCUUGCCUUGAAUCAUGAGAGAUCCUUUUAACGGCAAUUUGUAUGUUGGAAGAGGGUAAAACACCCUUAUGCACCUUACCAAAUCCACCUCUCCCUAGAACUUCCUUUUCUUUAAACCCCUUUGUUGCUUUGAAUAGAUCUUUAUAUGAGAAUCUAUGAGGCCGUACUGAACCUCCCAAUCCUCGAGAAUCUCCAUGAAUCUCUUCUUCCUUGAGAUCAACACAAACCCGAAAAUCAAUACGAGGACUAAAGUGAGACCUGUGAAAGAAAGGGUGAUAGCCAAAAUCUUCUUUAAUUGCUUGAUUCCUCCGUUAUCAUGUCGUGGAAUCUUUGGAAGGCGAGACAAGUCUAGCUCAUCAGGUGAGCCAUUCAUCUUGAAACUCCAAGCCAAUAUGUAGUGUGAGGAUGAAGUAGCUGAAACAGAACCGGUGGACGACGAGAAGCCGACAUACAUAGAGUCAUACAUAUAAGGAGACAGAUCCUUUUUGUAGGAUAUAAGUGGGGUUUUUGGCCUUGGUAGAUUGAUGGGAUACAACGUAACAUUGAGUCGCUUCUCAACCCCGUUGUAUUCUAUCCAUAUUUGCAUUGGGUCUCCGCUUACAAGGCUGACAUUGAUGAACUCACCUUCAUCAGUGUAAUACCCCGCAGAAGCAGAUUUCACCGAGUUUACGCUAUUGAUAUCGAUGCCAACAUGGUUGUCAUCACUGUCAUUGAGGUCAAAGCUUUGAACUGUAUCCAGCUCAACCGCAACAAUAUGAUUUGAGCUGUCACCGUUAUUUGUUUCAUUGAAAAGACCAAGAUACUGGACGGCAGAAGCUGCGGGAAUUUCAUUGUUUGGCGAGAUUACAAAGGCCAUUCCAUGGCCGCCGUAUUCCGGUCUAAUUGCAAAAAUGAAUGUGGUAGAAAAGGAGAAAACACUACCAUUUUUGGAGUUCUUGAAUUGGAUUGGAUUCUCGUAGAAUUUGUGACCUUUUAUUAGGCUUGUAGAGUUAGUCAGUUGAAGCAGCCCAUAGCAACUAAACUGACCCUGGUUGAUAUCUGACGAUGCAAGGUUCAGAAGGAAAAGCAGGAGCACAAGCAUGAUCAAACAAGACAUUAUUACACACAAAAUUACAGCAAUAGUGAUUAAGGGCUGUAGUAAGUUUUGUUGUGUAAGCAAGUUAUUCUGCACCAUCAGUCCAAUAUAAAUAAAAAGAAACCAAAACACCAUUGUCUUAAUCGAUUUGAUUAAGACCUCAAAGAAAUUUCCGGAAUUUUACCUGUCAGUAGUAAGGAAAUUGCUCUCCUUUAAAGACGAUAAGAUGAGAUUAUUUGGUAAAGGUGAUGAUAUCUUCUGAUAAUGAAACACUUGACAAUUCUUUACCUCUAAUAUAUGUAUUUAAAAAAUUAAUGAUUAUAAUUCUUGCUUUCCUUUCCUUUCAAUAAAAAACUUGAAACGCAAUGAAAUUUACCAUUUCAGUAAAAAAAAUCAUUUAAUUCUUGCUUUCCUUCACCCUAUUUAGAUAAUUAACUGUUUUUCUACAAUUUUAGUUAAAACAAUAAAAAAUUACUUACAAACAAUGUUUAAGAUACUAAGCGUGCAAAGAAUUUGUCAUAUAUGAUAGUAACAUAUUUGACUUUUACUUGCAAACCAUUACACUAGUAUUUAGUAAACACACUGUCAAUCAUGAGCCCAGGAUUUCCACACUUAUAUUAAUUUAUUAAUUGAUAAUUCUGUAAUUUCAUUUAAUUUAAACCAUAAUUACUAAAAGGUGAUUAAAAAUAUACUGGCUUGUAUAUCAGAUCAUAAUAUAAAAACUUAAAUGAAUCUCAAGACUAUUUACACUCAAUCACUUCAUUAUUGUACACAUUACUAAUUAACAUUACCUCCUUUUAAUUAAAUUCUGACCAAACUAUUUCACCCAAUUACUUGCAUUUGAUUUAACGUAACGUCGUGGAACCAAAUUCAACUCAUAAUUGAAAAGGGUAUUGAUCAAGAAUCAAUUUUAAGGUGAAAGUAUUGACCUCAAUAUUACUAGUAAAAAAAUUAACACAUGUAAUAAUUGGAUCAACAUUGUUAAAUAAUUAUAUAUCGCCUUAAAAUUAUACACUAAAUUGGAGUAUUGUUAUUUAAAAAUAAAUUUAAAAUACUCAAAAAAAAUAAUGUUGGCCAUAAAUCCAUUUAAAAAUUUAACAGUCAAAUAGACAAAAUAUUUCGCUUCAUAACUUGUAUCUUAAUUAACUUGUCACGUCCGGUUAACAUUAUUAAAUCAAAGAAAUACAAGGAUUUAUUAACAUAAAUUAUAAGGUUAAAUUAAAGUUUAAAGGUUCACUUAAAAUAUGAAAGGGAUUAGAUAAUACCAUAAGGCUCCAAAAUGAGUUUGCAAAUAUUAGAACCAUUUAAAAUAUGGACCAAGUUUGAACUCCAAUAUUUAAAGUCAAAGCUUAGCUCAACCCGCAUUAUACUUUUUGUAAUAUAUUUUUAUUUUAAUUUUCACAUAUUAUGCAAUUUAUAUCACAUAAAAUAGAAUAUAUAGUAAUAUAAAUACUAUGUAAAUAUUAAAAAUAUAUAUUAAAUUGUUUAUAUUUUAAUUUUAAUAAAAAACUAAAAUAUUAAUUUAAUUUAAAACAUUUUAAUAUAUAUAUACACACUAAUCUAAACGAAUUUAAAUUAAUUAGUUACAAAUAUAAAUAAAUUUAGAUAAAACUAUAGUUCUAUAUUUAAGUCAAAUUGAGGUACGGCGGACAAAAUAUAUUAAUAUUAUGUAUAAAUUUCAUCUGAACCAAUUUCACUAGGUCUAUAAGCACUAAAUUGAAUAAAUAUUAUUCCAAAAAGGUUAUUUAAUAAUUACUGGGCUUCUAGUUACUGAAAAGCGAGUUCAAUAGUAGGUAAUGGUAUUUCUAUUUCACUUUGGAAGUAGAUUUUUAUAAAAAUAAUCUUAAAAAUUAAUUAAUUAUAAAAAUGAGUUAGGAAAACAAAUAUAUACGAAUAUGAGUUAUAGUAUUUCUCAGUACAACUUGACACACCAAUGAAACUACUCGCAUUUUUCCCCUAAUCAUCAGUGUUUAAAAAAAAGAUUUUUUUUUUGUGUCAACAUUGUGUCAGGCAAUAUCGUAUAUAUUUUUUAAAAUAUUAGUGAAAAAUAUGAGUAUUCACAAUGAAGAAAAAAUACUUUUAUAAUGUAUGUCACCGUUAAUUAGACAGUACCAGUUAAAACUUUUUUUAAAAGAUCUAUAUUUUCAAAUAUGCACAAAAAAAAAAGAGAAAUAUUUUUUUAUUGAUGUUGGACAUCAUCUUAAUUUUAAAAAGUUGACAAAAUAAAUAAAAAAAUCUGCUAUAAAAAGAAAAUUUUAUUGUCUUGUCCAAGAGAAUGGUUCCAAAGCAUGCCUAGUUGCUUAGUUCUAACGGUUAUUUUACUCAAAUGACCCUAAAAAAUAAUUAUUUACGUAAAUGAUUUUAAUUAAAAAAUAAUCAUUUAAAUGACUUAAAAUAAAUAGUAAAAUUGGGUUAGGGGUAAUAAAUUGUCGAGAUCACCUAUUUUUAUGACACAAUCAUUACCGAAUGAUUGUGUCAAGUGUUAAAAAAGAUUUAAAUACUGAAGACUAGAUGAUUGACACCCUUAUAUUUUUUUCAUUUCGCAUCAUACUGGUAUACGUUUAUACCAAUAUUUAAAAAAAGAAUUAUUUUUUUAAAUAUUGGCACACUGAUGGUCGGCACACCUCUUUAUCAGAUUAAAAAAAUAUUUUUAUUGAGUGUUGGCACAUUGAUGACCAGCAUCCCAUUUAUCUGAUUAAAAAGAAAUUUAUGUUUAUCCCUAGACCAAUAGAAGCAUGAAAGUCUACUCAAAGGAUCAUGCAAGUGAGGGACCAACAAAAGUCAUCAAGUUGAAAUGGAAGGGGACGCUUUAGCAAUUAUAGGCUCGGAUGAAUUUAGGGAAUUAGGAUUUUGAGAAAGAAAUUAUGUUAUUAUAUAAUUAGUUGUUUUUUACAUGUAACAUAAAUUAGGCAAGGUUCUUAGCGUUUAUAAAAUUUGACAAUUUAAUCCUUAUUUUCUUUACAGUGAGAAUGUUAUAACCUUAAAAAAAAUCUGAAAUAUUGAGAUUCAAAUAAUUGAUAGGUUUAAAUGUUUUUAAAGACGAUUGGACGAAAUAAUUAGAUCUCAAAUUAUAUUUCGAAUUGAAAUUGUUCAUUUAAUACAUAAUAAUAGAAUGAAUUGUAAUUAAAGUAUUCCUCUACUAGGAAUGUAUAAAAGUCUAUUCAAGCCAAUUUAUGUGUCCGAAACUGAUGUACUCCCUUUAUAAGGUGUUCAAGCCAACGUAAGUGUUAAAUAUAGGUACUUAGGGAAAAUGGAUAGAGGUGAUCAUGGCCGGGCCAGGCCCAGAUAAAAUUUUAGGCCAAUUUUCUAGGCCCAACCCAAAAUAUGAGCCUAAAAAUUUGUCCAAGCCCUGCCUAAAAGAAAAUUAUUAAGCCCGAGCCCAGCCCGGCCCAUAUUAAAUUUUACAACACCAAAAUAGCAUCAAAAACCUGAAAAAUAUAAUCAAUCAACCAGAAUUAGAGGUAUAUUUGAUUAAAAAUAAAAAAUAUAUAUUUAAUAUACUUUGGGCCGGGCCGGGCCUGGGCCAAAAAAGUUUUGCCCGAGCCCGGUCCGUUUUUUAUACGGGACUAUUUUUUUGCCCAAACCCAUAUUUCGGGCCUAUAUUUUUACCCGAACCCUCCCUUUUUCAGGAGGGCCAUCAGGCCGAGCCGGAUAACUCAACCCAUGAUCACCUCUAAAAAUGAAUGAGUUGGUGUAAUAUAGGCUAUGAUAUAAUAGGCUAUGAUAUAACCAACAUUCAUGCAAAAUCGAGAAAGAAAUGAAUAAGAUUAUCGUAUGAAAAAUAAAAUAGAAAGGCUAAAAUCACAUGCAAAAUUUUUUCAAGCUCAAGUGUUCUAGCAUAAAAAAACAAUAUAUAAAAUAGAUGCCUAAACAAAGUAGAACACGGGUGAUUACAUCACAAUCUGCAAACAUUGAAUCAACGGGCAUUACCGAGCUUAGUGGAAGAAAAUGUUGGGAAAAUGAAAUACAGAUGCGAUCCUAAGCAACAAAUACAGCUUUGCAUUGCAUGAGAACCUAAUCCCAUCACCAAACUAUUUUAAAUGCGAUUUUCUACACGCAACACAGUGCAGGCAGCAUAUUUGAGAGCAAAAAACCUGACAAAAAGAAGUCAACAAUUUUAAUUUAUAAAAGAAUCAGAGGUUAAUUUUCGAUGUAAAAGAGAACAGACCUGAGCCAGAAAUAUUUGUAAAUAGCGACUUACUUAGUGACAUGCUUUUAACUGGAUCAUAAUGAAAGAUCACUUUUUUCUUCAUUUUCCUUGGAGGAUAAAUGUGAACCCAAGAAUUUAGUAACAGCAGAUUGCUCGGAUGAAGAAUGCGAUGAGCUUGAGAUAUAUUUUCUAGGUAACUUUAGUUUUAAGACGAAGAAGUGUGGUGUUAGAAUAGUGUAUGUGAAAGAUUUGGAAGAAAUAAAAGAGAUGCAUAGCCAUGCCACUCAUUAUUAUGCUAAUUUCGAAGAUAUCUAUCAACACUCUGCUGAUAGCGAUGGAUCAAUACAUAGUACUUCCCUUUCAGUACGAAAACAUAAUACCAACGAUUAAUUUUUACUCAAUUCGAAUAAUAAGAGUUCUCAACUUGAUUAAUUUUUUUUUACUCAAUUCGACUAGAUUCAAUUGAAUUCUCAUCCCUACGCAAGCAAAGGUUUUAUGAGCCGAGCAAUGUUAAGUCUAUAUGUGAUACUAGCACAUUUUAUAUUUACUCAAGCUAGGUUCAGUCCAAUACAAGCUUCAAAUUUUAUCAAGUCCAUCCAAAUUUGUAAAUGGUUAAUUUAAAUCCAUUUUAAGCUUGUUUAUAUAUUUUUUUUAAAAAUACUUAUUUAAUAUUUAAUAAUCUUAUUUUUUUUUUCUUUUACGAGAACUUUAAACAUCAACAACUGUUAAGACCAAGGCUGUCCAAGCAUUGAAGACUCAAUGUCUGAUCAGUCCAGAUGUUGGGACAGGUUUAGUGUUUUAUUGACUUAUUAGAAUUUUUUUGAACCUUGUACUUUUAUCCAAAUCUUCCCAUAUUUAGAUUGAGCCUUUAAGAUUAAACAAGUAAACUGACCCUUAAAUAAGUUUAUUUCCAAAUUAAUCAUAAUGUUGGAUUUUAACUUUGAGAUAUAACUCCACUGAGUAAAAAAAAAAGUGAACAAGUCACACAAAACUAUUGGUCAAAUGAUAAAAGAUUUGAUGCAAAGUCUUUAAUUAACACUAGUCUCGAGUAAAUGUACAAAAAAAUCAGGUCAGAUUUAAGCCUAUGUAAAGUAUUAGCAGAACUUAUGCUUGCUCAAAUAUUAAACACAAAAUAAUUCAAGUCACGUUUAUAUUUUAAAUGAGACUGUUUUUAUUUAAACCUUUUAAAAAAAAUUAAAUAUAUUUUAUAUGUAGAUCCAUAUAAUAUAUAAAAACAACUCCUAUAAAAGCAUUAGGGAAAUAAAUAGUACGAUAACAUAUUUUAUUCUGAGGCAUGUUUUAAAAACUAAAAAUUUUAUUAAGUGUUUUAAAAUUUGGCGAUUAAAUAUAACAUGGAAUGGUUGCAUUUUAAUUAAUCAAUAAAAAUAUGUAUAAAAUGAGAUUUGAAUCUUCGUCAAUUAGGUUAGUAAAACAUAAAAUUGAUCACUUCACCAAAGCUUUAUUUUAAUAUUUAUUACAUAUUUUAGUUUUAUUAUACACAUUUUAUUACUUUCAUCAAUCGUAUAUAUUUAUACUAUUAUUUAAUCUUCUAAUUAAGUUGGUGCCACAAGUAAAUUGGGCACCAACUCAAUUAGAAAAUUACAAAAAUGUCCUUUCAUAAUUAAAAUAAAUUAAAUUAUUUGAGAGUACUUUAGUCUUUUUACUUAAAAAAACAAUAAAAACAUGCUUAUGGUGGGAUUUGAUUUAAAGAUACGUUAAUUGCAUUAGUAAAAAUUUUAAUUUACCACUCAACUAAAAUUUUAUUUUGAUAUUCUUAUAUAUUUCAACUUUAUUAUCCAUACGUUAUUACUUCUAUCAAUUAUUUAAAUUUUUUAUUAAAAUUAUGUCAUGAAUCAAUCCAACAACCACACCAAGAAGCGAAAUGUGCUAAAGCAUAAUAGAAUUAUGGAUUUUGUUCAAAAGGAAUUUUAAUUAUUACAUUUGGGAUAUAAAAAAUUGAUAAUGAAUUUGCCAAGUACCCCAAAUUCAGUUUUCUUUUUCCAUUUGAUGCACAAACAAAAACUCUGAAUUUGCACAUAUAAAUCCAAAUUAUUUUAUUCAAAUUCAUGUUCAGAAAAGUCGUGAUAUUAUUGUGGAAUAUUCAAUGAACCUUAGCAACAAAAAUUGAAUUCCACAGUGACUUCGUUUUCAGUGGAAAAUUCAAACAUACUAUCUAUAAUGGCCUUUCCACAAUAUAAAUGAGAUUAGAUAGAAUUCAAAAUAUAAACUUAACCUUGUUUGCCAACAUGAUAUACUUCUCCAUUUCAAAGUCUUCCCAGUCUUCGUGAUAGAAAUUAUUAAUUAAAUUAUGGGUAAAUUUUUGCGUACGUUGUUAUUGAACAAAACCCCAUUCGAUACUUGUUAUAUCAAACGGUUCAUGAUCCAAUCUAAAUUUUAAAGUUGAAAUAUUAUUUCCAAUAAAAUUCGUAAAAACAUAAGAUUGGAGAAAAUAUUCAGAAAAUGAUUUUUGAAAUUGAAUUAUCUGUUGGUUACAGAUAGUUCUAUUGAUUUUGUUGAAUAUUUCUACUGGUAAAAUCUGUUUAGAUUUGUUAUAUAAACAAAUUCUAAAUAUUUUAUUCAUAAUAGGGGUAUUUUUCCCUUUGUAAAUAAAAUAUUGGAAAAUAUCAAGAAAAUUGUUUAUCUCCUUAAUUUCCAUGAAUUCCAUUUGGAAUUCAUCCCAUUCUCUGUAUAAAAUAGAAUUUAAUAAUAAAUCUUUAGCUUCAUUUUCCUUAGUUGUUUUUUCAACUAAAAAUAAUGAAAAUCUGGUAAGAGCUCUUCGGAAAUUAGCUCUCUGAUUUGAAAUAUGGGUUUUCCAUAUCUCGUUUAUAAAAUCAUAAAAUUCUGGUGAUAAACCAGGAUUAUAAAAAUCUUUUAUUUUUAAAAUUUCUUUUUCAUCUUCUAUUUGUUGUUCUUUCAACAAAUUUUCGGAUCUUUUGAUCAUAUCAGCAUAAUUGGUUUGUGAUGCUAAAUAUGGAUCUUGGGACAUUGGUGAUUGAUACACCAUGUUAGAAAAACUGCUUCCAAGUGGUUGGUUUACCAUUGGAUAUUUUAAAACAUUUGGUCCAAGUGGUUGAUUUACCAUUGGAUAAGACACAUAAUAUCCUUGGUUAGGAUAAAAUGGUAUUUGUGCAGGUACAAAUCCUUUUUUGGAGUUUGAUUCUGCUUUUCCUUUGUUGGGCUUUUUGCGAACGGUAGUCGAUUCACCUACAGUUUCUUGUAGAGGCUUUUUACCUCUAUCCAUUAAAAGGCCUGCUCAAAAAAUCAGCAAAUAUUAGUAAUAAAUUACAAAUAUUAACUGAUUAAUUUUAAUAGGUGUAAAUAUUUUAUUACACACAAUUUUAUUAUUUUCUUCAAGUGGAAUUUCCACAAAAUCUUCUUUUACUGAUAGCCAAAUAGAAUGUUUAUCAAUAGUAAAAGGUAAGUACUUACAAAUAAAAUUAUUACCUAAUAAUAUAUCUCCUUUCAUGUUAGGAAAACAUACUAUUUUAGGAAUCACAAAUCUAACAUUGUUUAUAUAGAUUGAUAUAUUUUUAGCUUUAUAUUUUAUAAUAGUUUUACUACCUUCUAUUCCCAUUAUUUUUAUGGGUUUCUUCAUUAAUUCGCAUUUUUCUACAGGAAUCGCAUUUUCUCUACAACUACAUAUUGUAGCUCCAGUAUCUAUCAAGGCAUUUAGAGAAUAUUUUUUAUAUUUUUUAAACUGAAAUGUAACUUUUAUAAUUAUUCCAAGUUUUGACUUUUUAUCAAUUGUUGAAGUUUGAAUUUCUUCCAUUCUAGUUUUUCUAGAAUUAUUACUAGGUUCAGUAGGAAAUAUAGGAAUUUGAACUGUAACAGGUUUCCACCCUGCAAUUAAAGACAUUUCAAAGUCUUCCCAGUCUACGUGAUAGAAAUUAUUAAUUAAAUUAUGGGUAAAUUUUUGCCUACAUUGUUAUUGAACUAUAAAUUAAUUUUUAUUCAAGGUAUUAGAUUGUUAAGUUUUUCCUUUUUAAAGUUCCACCAAUAAGUUUCAAGUGACAAUUCGAUAAUCGGUAUGAUAGAUGAACACUCAUCAACGAGUAAAAUAACACACCUUAUAUUUAAAUCGGUCUAAUAGUCAGUGUCGAAGAUCGAAGAAAAAAUUUUGUUUGAAUUUUGGUUUACAGAUUCAUGUCCAAAGUUGUUUCAUAAAAAAAAAUUGAAUUAUGUAAGAGAAGGGGAAAGAAAACUUUCGAUUGGUGUUAAUAGUGUGAAUAGAGAAAGUCAUAUAGCAUUGAUUUUAAUACCAAUGAAUUAAAAGAGAACUUUUAAAUAGUUCAAUGACCAAAUUGUAAUUUUUUUAGUUAAGUGACCAAAAAGAAAACUUACCCAUAAUUUAGUGACUAAUGAUAUAGUUUACCUAAAAUUUUCAUGGUAGGAAAUACGAAAAUUUUCAAAAUUUCUCCACUUUUAUUUCAUUUAGAACACAUGGUCUCUCUCACUAUAAGAUAAGAAACCUAAACUUCAAAAAAAAAUUUAUUUAAUUCUAAUAUGUAUUUUAAAAUUUAUUUUAUUAAAACCAUUAAUAGUUUUUUUUCUAAAAAUACAAUGAUAUUCAUAAUUAAUAUUUUAUAUUAUUUAUUUUUAAUAUAAUUAUUCUUUUUUAUAAUUAAUUUUUUAAACUAUAAAAUGCUAGCAACUAACUUUUUUUCUAAAUAAAUUAUUUAUCCAAACAAAAUAUUUACGAAUACUACCAUUUUGAAUUUAUAUGAAUUCUAAAAUGCUAGCAUUUUAAAUAUAUAAAAAAUUUAAUAUUCUUCAUCCAAAUACACUUUAAAUAUUUUAAUAAAAAAACACAAGUUCAUCUUGACCUAUUGGAUUUUAAAAAUAAAACUAAAUAUUAUAUAAAACUUGAAAUAUAAAAAUUAAUAAAUUCAAAAAAUUAAUUAUCCAUUUCAAAAAAUAUAUAAAAAAUGAAAAUUAUUACAAAAUUUAAAUGUUUCAGAAAAAUACAAUAAAUUAUAAAUAUUUGAAAAAUUAUUAAAAGUUUAAAAAUGUUAAAAUAAAAAUACAUGCAAUAGUAAUAAAAUGCUCUAAAAAAUUAAAACAAUUAUAAAAAGUAAAUAAAAAUUUCAAAAUUUUGAAAAUCACAAAAAAACUGUAUAAAACCCUAUUAGCAUGGUCGGCCACACUAUGCUACUUAUGAUGCUUAAAUAUAUACAAAAUCCUAGUAGCAUUAACUUAUUGUAAACAGUGGGGUACAAACCCUACUACUCUAUUUGGAAGCCUUUAAAACUUUAUUUAAUUUUACAAUCAUAAUUCUUAAUGAAAAACCCUAUAUUUUUCCACUUCACCUACCGUGAGAAACAAAUGCUUAUGUAAUUGUUAAUGAAGGAACGAUGUUUCUCUUCGGCUAGUGUCAACUCAUUAGGAGUGUCCACUUCAUUUGAUCCUGCUGGGAAUUCUCCGGCUUUGAUAACAGAGCUCAAGUCAUCGGGCAAUGAAGCAACACCGUCCAAAUACGAUAUAACGCUGGACAUGCUAGGCCUAGCCGCUGCCACCGGGUAUGAGCAAAGCAACCCAAGCUUCAACACCAACUCCGCUUGUUGUUCCACAAAUCUCUUCUCCAAACUCUUAUCAAUAGUCGCCAAAAUGUCUCCUUUAUCCCAGCAAUCCUUUAUCCAGUCAGCAAGAAAUGCUUCCUCUGGUGGCGCUCGUGGUUCGAUCGGCUUUCCACCACAUGCAACUUCAAGCAUGAAUGCUCCAAAUGCAUAUAUAUAUAUAUAUAUAUAUAUAUAUAUAUAUAUAUAUAUAUAUAUAUANNNNNNNNNNNNNNNNNNNNNNNNNNNNNNNNNNNNNNNNNNNNNNNNNNNNNNNNNNNNNNNNNNNNNNNNNNNNNNNNNNNNNNNNNNNNNNNNNNNNCCUGCUACGUACAUGCGAGCCAUGAACAUUCAUCAUGUUCUCUUGGCUUGCAUAUUGAAAUGCAAAAUUUAGAAACGUCUGUACUCCAUUUCGAUAACCGUUGCUUACCCUUGACAAAUUCAUCCAAGACCGGUCCAUUUCUUAAUUAUUGAAGUCUGACCUUGACAAUAAUUUGCACGGGUAAGUUAAAACGCCAGAUAUAACUAUAAAUGAGUUAUGUAAGUUAUGAUAUGAUAUAUUUUUAUGUAUUAUGUACUAAGUUAUGUAAGUUGUGUAUUAUGUGAGUUAUGUGAGUUAUGUAAGUUAUUUAAUAUAUGUAAGUUAUGUAAGUUAUGUAGGCUAUGUAUUAUCUAAAUAAUGUAAGUUAGGGAGGUUAUGUAUUAUGUAAGUUAUUUAAGUUAUGUAAGUUAUUUAAUUUAUGUAAGUUAUGUAAGUUAUGUAAGUUAUGUAAGUUAUUUAAUUUAUGUAAGUUAUUUAGAAAAAAUUAUGUAAGUUAUGUACUAAGUUAUGUAUUAUGUAAAUAAUGUAAGUUAGGAAGGUUAUUUAAGUUAUGUAUUAUGUAAGUUUAUAUAUAAGUUAUGAUAUAUAUUAUUGAUAAAUUUAAGUUAUAUAUUGUAUGUUAUUUAAGUUAUGUAUUAUGUAAGUUUAUAUAUAAGUUAUGAUAUAUAUUAUUGAUAAAUUUGAGUUAUGUAAGUUUUGAUAUGAUCGAUAAAUUUUGAAAAAAUUAUAGAUUUUAAAAAUAUAUAUAUUAAAAAUGUACAUACCAAUAUUUAUAAGUUAUGUAGGUUAUAUAUUUAAAAAUUUGGUUAUAUAAAUAUUUAUAAUUGUUUUUAAAAUUUAAAAAUUGUUUACUAAUAAAUUUGAAAUAUAGGUUAUAUAUCCAAUUUACAUUUAUUCGAUAAAUUAUAAUAUUUAUUAUUAAUAAAAUUGGAAUAUAGGUUAUAUGUUAUAUAUUAAUAUAUAUUAAUAAAAUUAUAUGUCCAUAUUAAUAUAUGUUAUAUAUUAAAAAGAUUUUGUCUUAUAAUAUAUGAGUAAUAUUUGUGUCCCAAAUUGAUUGUGUUUUCUGCACGAAAGGUUGCGUACAUGGUUCAAAUUCAAGUAAAGGAAAAUAUUUUCAGCAAAGAAAACCGAACACAUGAAGUACAAUUUGAGAUUUAAGCAAAGACUAAAUUCAGUAUCCGUACAUGGUUGAUUUAGCAGCAAAAAACAAUAAAAUGUACCAUCUUAGCAGCAAAAACAGAUGAGACAUUUAAAUUAUGUUUUGUAAACUUAUGAAUUAUUUAAUCAUUUGAAAUAUAUAAUUACAACGAACAAAAAUCAAAUCUGAACAUGAAACAAAUUUACAUGAACUAAAAACUUUAAAUCAAUUCAGUUCACAAUUGCAAUUAUAUUUGAUUUCAAUUUGGAUCUUUACAAACCAUGAGAAUACUGUAUAAUAUUUGCAAUUAUAUUCCAUAACCGAAAUUAAUUCAAACACUUAGGAGAAAGAUGGAGCAAAAAACAUCUUGAAGACCAGAACAAUAACCAGAAAUAAAUACAAUAAGCAACAACAUUAACCACAACGUGCAGCAAAAAAAGAACUUGCAACAACAUUAACCCCUAACAUUAACCAGCAACAUUAAGCAGAACUUCCAGCAAAAAAGAACUUGCAGCAGCAUUAACCAAAUACCAAAUUAAAACAGUCCCAACUACAAAUAUAUCAAAUAUAAAAACAGGCCAAAAUCACAUGUAAAUUUAUAAAACGAAAAAACAAAUAAAAUAAAGGAUAAACUAACCUUCUGGUUGUAACAACCCUAUACCAGUCUAAUCGUACAGAUCCAGUAUAAGGCUAUUACAUUUGGUGCCAAAACAGUCAUAGCUAGAUAUUGUUUAAUUAAAUCAAUUAUACAUAGUACUUUAACUUACCAACCAUAUUUGCAAACAUACGUAUAGUUUCACUAAUCCAUUUCAUAUAUAUAUACCAAAAUAUUUCAAGUACCUCAAAUUAGAUAGAAAUUCAAGAGUUUACAUUUUAGUUCCUAAUAUGUGGAAAUAUAACUGACUGCCUAUGUACAUGCCAUUUUAAUUCAAAAUAUGGUACCUACUUUUGAAACUCUUGAGGAUGUGAUGAGAUGAGAGAUCUUCUAUCCUGACUUUAUCUCUUCAAGUCAAACUGUACCUACGCGUUAAAAUUAAACGCGUUAAGCCGGUGAAGACUUAGUAAGCACUACAAGAAUAAACAAAUAAAUAAAUGUAAAUAAAAUAUUUCGAACUCAUUCUGUUGUUGCGUAUUUACGUACGUAUAAGCUUCAUAAAACUUACCUUAGCAUAUUAAUGAUUCGCUUUUAUCCACAAAUCAUAAUCUUAGCCCAAAAUAGAUUUUCAUAGAACACACCGGAUAUACGGAACAAAUACAGAGGUGCAUUAUUAUGCACUAAUGAACAGAGAGCACUAAAGUGCUAUACAGAGAGCACAGAUGUGCUAAACAGAGAGCACUGACGUGCUAAAUAUCAGAGAGCACCAACGUGCUAAUAGUCAGAGAGCACUAACGUGCUAAUAAUCAGAGAGCACUAACGUGCUAAUAAUCAGAGAGCGCGCUAAAGUUCCUUAAUGGCAUGCCACUAAUAUCCUGGUAGUUCUAAAUUCCAUCUACUUGGGCACUAAAACUGAAUCUCAUUCAUUUAAAUACUUUAUAGAAUUAUUUUGAAAAAGAUUUCUCAUUUCUCCAUCAUUACAAUUCAAUGCUUAUUUCACAAUUCACAAUUAUCACACCAUUUUCACACACACACACACAUAUAUAUACACUUUUGUCACAACAUUACUUAUUGUUCAAACAUUAUACCAUCUUAUAUUUUCCAUAUAUAAUUUUUCUUUACAAAUUUCAUAGUUCCAUAAUCUUUUAUUUUACUUUAUUUUAUUUUAUUUCUAAAUAGUUCUAUACUAUAAUAUAGGCAUUUAAAAUAAAUAAUUUCUAAAAAAAAUAAUCUUGUAGUACUUACAACAAAAAGGUUGAGAUGAUGUCUUCCUUCACUCCUUAGCCUUCUCUUUUCCUUUUUCUUCAAUAAGGUCCUUUCCUUUCCUUUCUUUCUCUUCAAUUUCAUAUAAAACACAUAAUAUUUAUAUAUUAGAAAAACAAUCAAAUAACUUUCCUAUAUCAUUUAAUAAAAAUAAACAUAUAUGAUAUAAUAAUUUCAUAAUUUCUUACCUUAGCUAAUAUUUCAAUUUAAUUCAUAACUAAAAUUAUUUCUAUUUCUAUCACAACCUAUACCUUAUUUCUACUUAAAUUCAACUUACACCUUAACUUAACUCUCAAAUUUUCACUAAUAAACCUUAAUUUCGAAUUUCUUACAAUUUUACAUUAAACUUAUAACUUAUUUCUCAAUUUCAUCCUUUUCCCAAUCCUAGUUUGAAUUUCCAUCAAUUCAACCUCUAAUUCAUCCACUAAUUCAAUAUAAACUACAUAAAAAAAUUCUACUAACUUUCAAAAUUUCAACAUAUACCUACUAGUAUUUUGAUCUAGAAUCAUAAAAACUCAAAAAUUUCAAGAAAAUGACUUAAUUUGACUUACCGAUUUGAAAUUGAACCUUAAAACCCUAAAUUCCUUCUUUACUUUUUCUUUCUUUCUUUCUCCCCUGUUUCUCCCCUGUUUCGUUUCAAAUGCUAUUCUGUUUCUUUCUCUUUAUUUCUUUUCUUUUGUUUUAUAUAUAUUUAUAUAAUAAUAUAAUAUUAUAAUAAUAUAAUAUAAUAACUUACUUAUUAAUUAAAUAACAUAAUAUAUAAUAUAUAUAUUUAAAUAAAAAAAAUAUCUUAGAUAUUUCAUUUGUUAUGCCGCCUCAAUUUUAGAAAAAGGCAUAAUUGCCUAUUUGGUCCUUUUAACUUUCUUUAAUUUAUAAUUAAACUUUCACACUUAUUUCAAUCUAAUCCCUUUUUCCUAAUUACUUCUAAUUAAAUCAAUUUCACCUAGUCAAAACAUAAUUAGACACACAACUAACUUCGUAAAUAUUUAUAAUAAAUAUUUACGAAUCCGAUUUACCGGAACGGAGUCCCGGAAAUGCAUUUUUUUAUUUAAUCUAUUUAAAUAAAUUUUACCAUAUAAUCAAUAAAAUUUUAUUAUCAAAAUUUUCAUGCAACCUUCCUAUCAUAAUAUAGACCAUACCACAAUAUUAAAAUAAAUUUUCUUUCUAGCUCGGAUUUGUGGUUACGAAACCACUAUUCCGAUUUACUGAAAAUGGGUCAUUACACUAGUUAUCUACCCUUUCUAUGUAUUGCUUCAAACCAGUGACAGGUAGCAAAUUUGCAGACUAGAUUGCUAAAACUAAAUUGCUGCAACCAAAGGAAAGAAAAAAUUAACUAAGAAAAAACUAAACUUGUUCAACUUCAUCACUAAAACAAAUUUACAUGAACUUAAGUGAAUAAUCAAUUGUCAAAUUAUCUAAAUCAAAAUAUUAAAAUAGCGUAUUUUAUAUAUAAAAUUUUCUUAAAUUUUAUACUGAUUAAACCUAAAUAGAAAGACAAAACAAACGUCCUGACUCCUUUAAACAAAAAUAAUUAGAAAUAAAAAACAAGGUUUAGAAUAUGCUGCAAAAUUGUUUUUAAUUUCGAAAUUAACUUUAACCACAAACAAAUUAAAAAUAUAUAUCAAUACAAAAAUUACUUAGGAAUUCGAAAGCAUACAAGUUAUUGUCAAAAUGUAAGACAGUUACUGCCUAAAACCCUAAACAAAAUAAAUUGGUAAAGCUAAAAUUAAGAGAAAAGAAUUUCAUACCUUUACGAAGACGGAGAGAAAGUAAAUCGGACAGGAUGUGAUUCCACAAUACUCAAAAAUGAGAUUGUUUUAUGAGCUUCGGAAACCCUUAAACCAUGGACGAAAUGGAAUGUUAACAAUAUUGAACCCUAAACAUGAAAAAUAAGAGGGAAAUCAAACCGGUUCGUGCUUACCCAAAAAACUAUUCCACUGUUCGUCUUCCUCUAAAUGCUGUGAAGAAUUAAACGCACUAAACCGACUAAAUGAAGAACCGAAUAAAGUAAAAGACUCCAUGAAUGUCUGGAAUUAGGGAAGUGGAGGAGAUUUCGAAAGGAAAAUAGGGAUUUGGAAGGGGAAGGGGAAGGAAACCGAGUUUAGGGGCUGCGUACGGGUUUUAGGGUUCGAAAGGGGAAAUAUGUGACGCCAAGCAGAGCGACGACGUUCAGAAUAUCUGAACUGUUCCUCAAAUGAAACGGCGACGUUCUGAACAUUUUGUAAUACACAGUUGCGGCGUUUUCAGAAAAAAUGCCGCUAAAGCUUACAAUUUGCGGCGUUUUAAAUAAAAACGCCACUAAAGAGUUAAAACCAUUUAAGAAAACGACGCCGUUUUCAUACACACAAUAAUUUAUGGAUUUGCGAUGUUUUUAUAAAAAACGCCACUAUCGUAUACCUACAGUGGCGUUUUUCAUAAAAACACCACUAAAAAUCAAAUUCAUGUAUCCAAACAGCACCAUUUUACAUAAUUUUAAACACAUUUUUGCGGCGUUUCUGGCCCAAACGCCACUACUGUAAAAAAUUUCCAAGUAUUUAAUAAUUUAAAAAAUUUAAAAUAUCAUACAACAAUAUGACAAUAUUAUUUUUAAUUCUAUUAAAUGGGAAAUUUGAUUUUUAGUGAUGGUAUUUUUCUUAAAAUUUAAGGUAGGAACUUAAUCCGUAUAUAGUGUUUGUAUUUUUCUAAAACUUCAAUUUAAAAAUUUAAUUCGGUGAAGUCAGGUUGUAUUUUUCAAAAAUACUAAAUAACCUAAACCCUAAAUCACAACCCCUAUAUAUCCUGAAAACCAUCAACCGUAAACUUUUUACCCUAAACCCUUAAACCCUAAACCCUUAACCCUUAACCCUUAAUCCUAAACCCUUAACCCUAAAUUGAUAUAGACCCUCUUAUCCCUUAAACCCUAAAUCUUAAACCUAUAAAUCAUAAACCAUGACCCUUAACCCCUAACACCUACACCCUAAGCCCCAACCUCAAAUGAUAAACCACAAACCAUAAUACGUAACCCUUAACCAUAUCCCCUAAACCUUCAAUCAUAUAACAUUAACUAUAAACCCCUAACCCUUAACCCUAAACACUUCAACCUUAGACCCCAACUAUUGCACCAUAAUCCCUAAACCCCUAACUCAACCAUAUUCCUUAAACCCUGAAUCAUAGAACAUAUAUAAACCCUAAAUCUUAAACCCUAAAUCAUAAAACAUUUAUAAACUAUAAACCUUAAACCUCAACCCUUAAAUAAUAAACAAUAAACAAUAAACCGUAAGGCCUAAAUCCAUAAUCCCUAAACCGCCAAUGUGUUGAAAGCUCAACAAAAAAAAAUAUUGUUUUGCUUAACGAUUUUGCGGCGUUUUUCUAAACGCGCCACUAAUGUCUCUAAACCUCCACAAGAAAACGACAACGUUUUGCUUAAAUAUUUUUGAGGCGCUUAACAUAAAGCGCCACUAAUGCUUGACUUCUACGGCGUUUUUAAAGCUGCGCCGCUAGUGUACCUAAACCUUAACAACAAAACGGUGCCGUUUGCAUAGCAAUUCUUGCGGCGUUAGCGUAAAACCGCCGCUAAUUAUUGAAUUUUGCGGCGUUUUAGCAAGGCGCCACUAAUAUCUCUAAAAGUAAACGUUGCGUUUUGGAUAAGAUCUUCGUGGCAUUUUCGCGUAAGCGCCACUAAUUCUAGUAUACAUCAAGACCAAACUCUGUGUUUUGGUUAAGAUACUUUGCGGCGCUUUUCACCAAAUGCCGCUAAUACUAUGCUUUAGCGGCAUUUCCCUUAAGCGCCACUAAUGCUAGUAUACAUAAAGACUAACACGCUGCGUUUUGGUUAAGAUACUUUGCGGUGCUUUACAAUAAGCGCCACUAAUUCUAGUGUACCUCAAGACCGAACUCCGCGUAUUGGUUAAGAUAUGUUGCGGCGCUUUUCAAAGCACGCCGCUAAUACUGUACUUUAGUGGCGUUUUGUCGUCGACGCCACUAAUUCUAGUAUACAUCAAGACUAAAACGCUGCGUUUUGGUUAAGGUAUUUUGCGGCGCUUCCCACUACACGCCGCUAAGACUAUGCUUUAGCGGCGUUUUGUCAUAAACGCCACUAAUUCUAAUAUACAUCAAGAUUAAAACGAUGCGUUUUCGUUAAGAUUGUUUGCGGCGCUUUUCACCGAGCGCCGCUAAUACUUGCUUUAGUGGCGUUUUGUCAUAAACGCCACUAAUUCUAAUAUACAUCAAGAUCAAAACGAUGCGUUUUCGUUAAGAUUGUUUGCGGCGCUUUUAACCGAGCACCGCUAAUACUUGCUUUAGUGGCGUAUUCCAAUAAUCGCCACUAAUUUUGGUAUACAUCAAGACCAAAACGCUGUGUUUUGGUUAAGAGAUUUUGCGGCGCUUGAAGGUAACGGUCAAAAAAAUGAUUGUUGCACUGUUCACGCACGGGGCAAAUCGCGUCCCCAAGAGCGCGCUACACAUCAGCAAAUCGUGUCCACGUCAGCGCGCUUUGCUUACGUGGAUGCGAUUUGCUGAUACGUUUCCUGACUUCGCGCUGACGUGGACGCGAUUUAGGGGAAAGGGCCCAUUCUGGUAAAUAAUGGAAUACCGUGCCCAUUUCGGUAAAUUUAAAAAAAUUAGGCUUUUAAUGGUAAAUUGUCCUAACAUAUCAUCAUUUAAUUAAUUUUUUAAAAUUUAAAAAAAUAAAAAAAUAUUUAAAAAUUAAUUAAAUACUGACAUGUUAUUCACAUGGGAAUCUACAUAUAUACUACAUCAGCAAAGUGAAUAAAUAUUAAUUUUCCUAUUUAUUUUAAAGUGAUUUGACAAAAAAUUUAAAGUAAAACACAAACUUAAGAACAGUUGCAAUUAUUGUAGGCUCCAUUUUAUCAACACCCACCUUGUUGGAUUCAUAUGCAUCACUCAUUUAUGGCCCCCCAAUUUCCACAACUACGCGCAUUCAUUUGGAAAGUGAAAAGGUUAUAGAGAAAUUGCUUAGAAACCACCUUUAUUCUUCCCUGGAAAUUUGAUCUGUUUCUAGUUUCUUUCAGACGUAUUGAGCUAUCAGUUUUCUGAUUUUCAACACUACAUCCACAUUUUUUUUUUCUCGCACAUCGUCAUGUCGUCAUUACCUUCAACUUCUUCGUCCAAUUCUAGAAAGAAAUAUGAUGUUUUCUUGAGUUUUAGAGGUGAAGAUACCCGCACCAACUUUACCGAUCAUCUCUAUGAUGCUUUAAGUAGGAGUGGGAUCGUCACUUUCAGGGAUGAUCCAAAGCUGGAGGCCGGCGAAGAGAUCGCGCCAGAACUCUUUACAGCAAUUCAGCAAUCAUGGUGUUCGGUAAUCGUUUUUUCACAAACUUAUGCCUUUUCAAGUUGGUGCUUGGAGGAGCUUGCUGAGAUUGUUAAACAACAUAACAACGACGGUCAUAAAGUGUUUCCAAUUUUUUACGAUGUUGAUCCAUCUGAUUUAAGAAAACGAAAAGAGAAAGUGGAAGAAGUCUUUGCUAGACAUAAAGAUAGUGAGAAGAUCCAAAGGUGGCGAAAUGCUUUAAUUCAAGUGGCUGGAAUCAAGGGAUGGUAUUUAAAUAACAGGUAACUCUUUCUUUUCUUCUCUCUAUUUUCUAUUUUUUGGGAUAUAUAUGUAUAACUUUGUUUUUUUCUUUCUAAUCCUAUGUGUUUAAUUGAAAAAUGUCUUGGUUCUUGUUUGCUUCCAAACUAUAUUAUGUUUCAUGAUUCAUUGAAAAAGAAAGUGCAUUUGAUAAUAUGAAAAAAAAAAAUUAUUCAAAAGAUUAAAAUUUAUUUUCUUGUAGGCAUGAAUCAGAAUUUAUUAGAGAGAUUAUUAAGAAGAUAUCAGCAAAACUAUGUCACCCAGUUACUCAUAGUGACUUGGUUGGAAUGACUGAACGCUUGGAGGAUUUAUAUUUGAAAAUAAACAUUGGGGAAAAUGAUGUCCGCAUUAUAGGGAUUUGCGGAAUGGGUGGUAUCGGUAAAACAACACUCGCAAGACUUGCUUAUAAUCAAAUGUCACGUCAUUUUGAAAGUAAAAGCUUUAUUGCUGAUAUUCGAGAAGUUUCAGACAGAUGUGGAUUAGUUUCUUUACAGAAACAACUUCUUUCUGAGAUUUUUCAUGAUGAAUGCUUCAAAUUUUUCAAUGUUCAUGAAGGGAACGAUAUAAUUAGUCAUAUGUUGUCUCGCAAAAAGGUUCUUGUUGUUCUUGAUGAUGUUGAUAACAUACAACACUUAAAAUGCUUGGUUGGAAGGCACGAUUGGUUCGGAUUAGGGAGUAGAAUCAUUGUAACAACAAGAGAAGAACAUUUGCUUCGAUCUUGGCCAGUUAAUGAUAUGUAUGAGCCCACAACAUUGAAUCCCAAAGAUGCGCUUCAGCUUUUCAGUCUGAAAGCUUUUCAUAGUGAUACAGUGCCGAAAGAUGAUUUCAUUGAGCUUUCUUACCAUGUUGUAAAAUAUGCUGGUGGGCUGCCGUUAGCUCUUGAAAUUUUGGGUUGCUUUUUAUGCGGUAGAGAUGCUACUCAAUGGAGAAGUGCAAUUGAAAGACUUAAAAGAGAUUCUAACAAAGAAAUUCUUGAUAAACUUCGAAUCAGUUUUGAUGGAUUGGAAGAAAGGGAGAAGAAUAUAUUUCUAGAUAUAGCAUGCUUCUUCAAUGGGGAGGAGAAAGAUUGUGUAAAGAAAGUAUUGGAUGGUUGUGAGUUNNNNNNNNNNNNNNNNNNNNNNNNNNNNNNNNNNNNNNNNNNNNNNNNNNNNNNNNNNNNNNNNNNNNNNNNNNNNNNNNNNNNNNNNNNNNNNNNNNNNUGUUCUCAUUAAAAAAUCUCUCAUAAAAGUCGAUGAACACAAAUAUUUGUGGAUGCAUAACUUGUUGCAAGAAAUGGGAAGAAAAAUUGUUAGAGAAAAAUGUGUUGAUAAACCUGGAAAACGUUGCAGAUUAUGGGAGGAAAGAGACGUCUAUCAUGUCCUAACAAAAAACACUGUAAGUCAUUUAACAAAAGUUACAUACUAUUUCUAUUUUGUUAUAUAAUAUCAAAUCAAUAUAUGAUAUAAACCCAAAGCUUAGUCUAAUUGGUUGAUACAACUAUUCUUAAAAAGUGAUCUUUAGUAAUUUUGAGAUUACAAAUAUUAAAAAGGAUUUGUAGAAAUAAAUAUUUAAUUUCAUUGCAUUACCCUCUUUAGAGCAUAAUAUUUGUAGAAAUUGUUUUAUUUAAAUUUAAAAUGCUUUAUUUAUUAUAAUUAGAAUAUAAUAAUGCUAAAAAAAAGUAAGUUUUUAAAAGUUUUAUCCUACAUUAUACACCAUUUAAUUUAAUUUAUUUUCUAUUUUUGAUUUUUCUUAGGGUACAAAAAUAAUUGAAGGUAUAAUCAUCGAUAAUAAAAGGUAAGAAAACAUAAACUUAUAUUUACGUGUAAUAUGAUAAAAAAAUAUAGCAAAACCUUUGACACCCAAUAUUUCAAUGUUUAAUUAAAAAAUUUAUCUACUAGCGUAUUACUCUUCCAAAAGAUUCAAUAGAGAAAUGUAUGUCUUUUUGAAAUAUUAAUAGUAUAUCAAUGAAAUAGACUAUAACAUAACUUUUAGAUAUUGAAUGUUUUAGUAUAUUUUGAAGCUCAUUUUUGCUUUGCUCACUUAUAUUAGGGAAUCGGGCAAGAUGCUCAACUUGAGUGUCGAUGCCUUCUCAAAAAUGAAAAAAUUGAGAUUGCUCAAAGUGCUUUGCCUAUUAAAUUGUGAUGAUCUCAAAUUUCUUUCUAAUGAGCUACGGCUUUUAGAUUGGAAAGGAUGCCCUUUAAGAUCGUUACCUUCAAGCUUUCAACCGGACAACCUUGUUGCACUUCUUUUAUCAUAUAGUCGCAUUCAACAACUAUGGAAGGGAAACAGAGUAAGAAUUAACUCAUGUCAUCCUUGAAUUUUAGCUUAUUUUAAUAUAAAUGAUUAAACUUUGAUUAAGAUAAAAAAAACAAAAAUAAGCAUUAUUAUGUUUUCUCAUUUGUUUCUAAUUUAUUGUGAUCUUCAACAGCCCUUGUGUAAGCUGAAAAUGAUGAACCUUGAAGGGUCCCAAAACCUGAUCAAGACACCAGAUUUCACAACGGCAUCAAAUCUUGAAGUUCUAAUAUUGAAAGGUUGUACCAAAUUAGUGGAUAUUCAUCCAUCAAUCGCAGUACUUAAGAGCCUUCAAGUUUUGAAUUUAAGAGAUUGCAAAAGUCUUAGUAGUCUUCCGACCAUAACUGGAAUGGAAUCUCUUGAAACAUUAAUUCUUUCGGGUUGCUCAAGUCUUGUAAGGUUUCCGGAGAUUGAUGGGAAAAUGGAACGUCUAAAAACUCUAGAUCUUUCCGGUUGUUAUAGAGUUGAAAAUUUAUCAGAGAAUUUGCAGCAUGCAAAGUUUUUGGAAGAGCUCGACUUGAGAGAAACAGCCAUAACAGAACUACCAUCCUUCAUUUUUCAAUUUAAAAAUCUUAAAGUUCUGUCUUUCAAUGGAUUCAAAAGAGGAAGAAAAAAUUCCAUGGCUCCGAUGUUACCUUCAUUGUCAGGUUUGAGUUCAUUAAGAGAGUUGAAUCUAAGGGACUGCAAUCUUUGUGAAGGAGAUAUUCCACGUGAUAUUUCUGGUCUAUCCUCUUUGGAAGAACUUAAUCUUAGUGGUAACAAUUUCACCAGCAUACCUGCAUCUCUUACUCGACUCUCCAAGCUUGAAGAGCUUAUAUUGUCAAAUUGCAACAUGUGCACUCUUGGUGAAGUAGAUAUUCAUGGUCUAUCCUCUUUGGAACGGCUUUUUCUUAACGGUAACAAUUUCAUCACCGUUCCUUUGGCUCUGGCUCAACUUUCCAAGCUUAAAUUGCUUGGAUUAUCAAAUUGCAUGAAGCUUAACUCGUUGCCUGAGCUACCAACAAGUAUAGAAGAAGUGUGGCUAGAUGGUUGUUCUUCACUUGAAGUAGUUGCAAGUCCAUCAAAAGUAUGCAAGUUAGUGGAUUCGGCUGCUAUUAUAGCCUUUAACUGCUUCAAAUUGGCUGAGAAUAUCAACGCAUUAACACUGCUGAGAAAACAUCUUAAGGUCGAUUAAUCUCUCUUUUUCUCCCUUACAAAAUCUCAUACUUGAGAAUUUAUGGUUUUAGUUAUCAAACGACUUAUGUUUUAUUUUGCAGGCAUUUGCAAAUUCAAGAAAAAUGUUUGAUAUUAUCAUGCCAGGAAGUGAAAUCGCAGAAUGGUUUAGCCAACAAAAAGGUGACUUCUUUAUUAAGAUUCCCUUACCUAUCAACCUUCAAGAGGAUAGUGAAUGGAUUGGAGUUGCUUGUUGCUGCAUUUUUGUCAAUAGUGAUGCUUCAAGGGAUGCGGGCUUUAUCGACUGUCGAGCGUUAAUGUAUGGUAGAAAUCAUCGACGGAUUGAGGGUGGAGGCUAUUUGGUGGGUAAACGAUUCAACAUGCCCAUAAUGAAAGAUCACAUUUUUCUUCGUUAUUGGUCGCGUGAUAAAUUAUAUCCAUUUUCCUUGAAGGAUAAAUAUGGUGGCUGUGAAACCAAUAAUUUACGGGCAACAGGCUUAGAUCAUAAAUGUGAUGGGCUUUGUGUGUUUUUCAAUGGUCAUAGCCUUAAGGUGAAGAAGUGUGGUGUUAGAAUAGUGUAUGAGAAAGAUUUGGAAGAAAUAGAAGAGUUGCAGUGCCAUAUCACUCAAUCUUCACCAGAUUUUGAACACAUCCACCAACACUCUGCUCAAAACGAUGGAUCAGUAGGUAGCACUUCUGACAUAAAACAAAAACGAAAUAUCUCCGAGGAAGCGGAGGAAGAGGGGCUGCAACCAAAAUUGAUGCAAAAAUUUUUCAAAUUUAUAAUGGGCCAAUCAGGGAAGAAGCAUUAACUGUGGUAAACUACUUAACCAAUCUUUUAUUUAAAGUGAUCAAUCUAGACUUAUUUACGAUCCUUCUUACAUACCAAAAACUUAUAAAUCUUUUACUUAUAUUCAACAGGAGCUCAUAUCAUAGUUUAUAUAUAUCAUUUAAAAUUUUAGUGGCUUAAUUCAUUCCGUUUUACAUAACUGAAAUGUGAAAAUUUUUAUUGGUUUCAAUUUUUAUUAAAUUUUAUUUUCAUUAUAUAUACACUUAUAUCUAUAUUUUAUUUGUAGGUUGAAAUAAAUAUAAUCAACUUGACAUAGAAAUGUAGAGAAAAAUGGAUAGCUUCCGUGACAAAACAGGUAACAAUAAGGUGAAAUCCUUUAAUAAAGAUCAGAUUAUAAUUUGGACCGAGUUAAAAACUAUUUUUUUUAUUUGAGACUAACUUAUGUGUUCAAUUUAAUCACUCAAAAUUGUUUUUAUAUAUUUAGAAGAUUAAAAAUAAGUCCUUUACUAAUACUUGAAUAGGUUUAAUUACUCCUAAUAAAAAUAAGUCCAAAUUAUGUGUCAUUGUUUGGUUCAUUAACUUGUAAAUUAUGCAUUGUUCGCGAACCAAACAUAAAUCAACAUAUUAAUUCAAUUUUUUAGGAUUAGGUAAUUUAACAUUGGGUGUGAUUGUUAGAUAUAAGUAUCUCUUUAAUAUGGGUAUAUUCAAAAAAAAAUUUAAAAACUGUUUUUUUUCACGUAAUUAAAAAGUUAUUAAAGGAUCAUAUCUUAAUUAAUACCCAUAUACGAAUGUGUAUUAGAUAUAAGUAUUGGAUACGAGUACUUUAAAAAAUAAAUUGAUGCAACAUUUCUUUUAAAUAUUGAAUGUUUUAGUAUAUUUUGAAGCUCAUUUUUGCUUUGCUCAUUGAUAUUAGGGAAUCAGGCAAGAUGCUCAACUUGAGUGUCGAUGCCUUCUCAAAAAUGAAAAAUUUGAGAUUGCUCAAAGUGCUUUGCCUAUUAAAUUGUGAUGAUCUCAAAUUUCUUUCUAAUGAGCUACGGCUUUUAGAUUGGAAAGGAUGCCCUUUAAGAUCAUUACCUUCAAGCUUCCAACCGGACAACCUUGUUGCACUUCUUUUACCAUAUAGUCGCAUUCAACAACUAUAGAAGGGGAACAGAGUAAGAAUUAACUCAUGUCAUCCUUGUAUUUUAGCUUAUUUUAAUAUAAAUGAUUAAACUUUGCUUAAGGUAAAAAAACAAAAAUAAGCAUUAUUAUUAUUAUGUUUUCUCAUUUGUUUCUAAUUUAUUAUGAUCUUCAACAGCCCUUGUGUAAGUUGAAAAUGAUAAGCCUUGGAGGGUCCCAAAACCUGAUCAAGACACGAAACUUCACAACGGCAUCAAAUCUUGAAGUUUUAGUGUUGAAAGGUUGUACCAAAUUAGUGGAUAUUCAUCCAUCAAUCGCAGUACUUAAAAGCCUUAAAGUUUUGAAUUUAAGAGAUUGCAAAAGUCUUAGGACUCUUCCAACCAAAAUUGGAAUGGAAUCUCUUGAAGCAUUAAUUCUUUGGGGUUGCUCAAGUCUUGUAAGGUUUUCAGAGAUUGAUAGGAAAAUGGAACGUCUAAAAACUCUUGAUCUUUCAGGUUGUUAUAGAGUGGAAACUUUAUUGGAGAAUUUACAGCAAGCAAAGUUUUUGGAAGAGCUCGACUUGAGAGAAACAGCCAUAACAGAACUACCAUCCUUCAUUUUUCAAUUUAAAAAUCUUAAAGUUCUGUCUUUCAAUGAGUGCAAGGGACCAUCAUAUAAGUUACUACCAAAUUUGCCUUCUUUUUUCAAGGUAAUCCAAGGAAGAAGGACAAAUCCCAUGGCUCGGAUGUUGCCUUUGUUGUCAGGUUUGAGUUCUUUAAGAGUGCUAAGAGUGCUAAAACUAAAGGACUGCAAUCUUUGUGAAGGAGAUAUUCCACCAUAUAUUUUUGGUCUAUCCUUUUUGGAAUAACUUAAUGUUAGUGGUAACAAUUUCAUCAGCAUACCAGCAUCUCUUACUCGACUCUCCAAGCUUGCAAAUCUUAUAUUGUCAAAUUGCAAUAUGUGCACUUUUGGUGAAGCAGAUAUUCAUUAUGAUAUUUCUGGUCUAUCCUCUUUGAGUUAUCUUGAUUUUAGUGGUAACAAUUUAAUCAGCAUACUUGCAUCUUUUACUCGACUCUCAAAACUUCAUGUUCUUGACUUGUCAAAUUGCAACGUGUGCACUCUUGGUGAAGCACUCUUUGAUAUGUCUUGAUCUUAGUGGUAAGAAUUUCAUCACCAUUCUUUUGGAUCUUAUUGAAAAAUAGAAUGUCGGUAAUGACAAUAUAUCAUAAAGAAAAAAGAGAAAUAAAAAUAAAUAACAUAUAGAUUUUACGUGGAAAUCUUUUUUGUGAAAAAAACCACGGGUAAAUGAGAAGAAAAUUCAUUAUGUCGAAUUCGAAUAAUUACAAGAGAAGUAGACUAUGUCUAUUUAUAGGCUUGUAAAACCAUCUUCUAGUAAGAUUGAAACAUCUUAUUUUAAUUAAUUUCAAAUAGAUGGAGUUUAAUAAGGUUUAAAAAACCUUAUUCUAAAAAUAAAAUAAAUGAAGAAUAAUUCUAUAGGGAUUUUACUUUUUAUUUUAUUUUAGCACUAUAUUUGAUUUAAAUAAGGAUUCAGUCACUUAAUUCUAACAAUUUCUAUCUUGACACGAAUUCUUAAUGAACAAGUUCUUCAUCGUGAACUCUUAACGAAUAAGUUCUACACCUCUUCCAUAAAACCCCUUAAGGGUUUAAUUUCAACAAUGAACAUCAACUAAGUCUAAGCAAUGCUCAAACUUGGUUAUAGGAAGUGACUUAGUCAUUAUAUCUAUAGGAUUUUCAUGAGUACUAAUUUUGCUCACAACAAUAUCGCCACGAGUAAUAAUAUCACGAACAAAAUGAUACUGAACAUCAAUUUGUUUUGUUCUCUCAUGAAACAUUUGAUAUUUUGUAAGGAAGAUGGUACUCUGACUAUCACAAAAUACUGUAUUUAUUUGAAAGUUUUAAUUGAGUUCACUUAAGAAUCCCUUUAACCAAAUAGCUUAUUUACAAGCUUUAGUAAUCGCCAUAUACUUAACUUCAGUGGUAGACAAAGCGACUACAGUUUGUAAAGUGGCUUUCUAACUGAUUGCAAAACCCCCGAUUGUAAAGAAAUAACCUGUGAGAGAUCUUCUUAUAUCGAGGACUUCAGCAAAAUCAGCAUAAAAAAACCCAAUGACUCUAUCUCUAGUUCUUCCAAACUGUAAGCAAACAUCAGUAGUACCUUGCAAGUAUCUUAAAACCUACUGAACUGCUUUCCAAUGUUAUUUACCAGGAUUCAACAUGUAUCUGCUAACUGCACUGACUGCAUAUGAUAAAUCUGGACGUGAAUAAACCAUAGCAUACAUGAGAGAUCUCACUGCACUAGACUAUGGAACAUGUGACAUGUACUCAAUCUUAUCAUCUAAUUGUGGAGAUAAAGCCAAUUAAAGUUUGAAAUGGGCUACUAAAUGAGUACUAACAAGCUUAGCAUUCUACAUAUUGAAUCUGCAAAGAAUUAAUGUACCCCUUCUAACUUAGGUAUAAUUUACUUGCUUUUCUAUUUCUAAGAAUCUCUAUACUAAGUAUCUUAUUUGCUGGUAUCAAAUCUUUCAUCUCAAAUUCUUCACUUAGUUGGACUUUAACCUUUCUUAUCUCUCAUUUAUCUUUCGCUGCUAUCAACAUGUUAUCAACAUAAAGGAGUAGAUACACAAAAAGAGUAUCACAGUUUUUCUUAAAGUAAACACAACUUUUAAAACCAUGAGAAGUUAUAAAAGAAUCAAACCUCUUAUACCACUGUAUUGGUGACUGUUUCAAACCGUAAAGGGACUUUUUUAGCAAGCAAACAUAGUUUUCUUUUUCUAAGACUGUAAAACCCUCUGGUUGUUACAUGUAAAUAUCCUCCUCAAGUUCUUUAUGCAAAAAUUCAGUUUUUUCAUCUAACUGCUUAAGUUUUAAAUCAUGCAUUACCACAAUACCAAGCAAAGCUCGAAUCGAACUAUGCUUCACAACUGGAGAGAACACAUCUGUGAAGUCCACUUUUGGAAUUUGACUGUAACCCUUUGCAACAAGUCUUGCUUUAUAUCUUGGUUAUUCAACUCUUGGAGUCCCCUCUUUCUUCUUAAACACCCAUUUACAACGAACAACUUUUUUACCUUUAGGAAGUUUUAUAAGAUCUCAUGUUUUAUUUUUGUGUAGUGAUUUAAUCUCCUCUUACAUAGCAAACAUCCAAUUUUCUAAGUCUUCACAACAAACCGCCUCAAAAUAAUUAGAUAGUUCUUGAUUUUCAUCUAUAUCUUCAGCCUUAUUUAAAGCAUAAAUAAUUAGAUUAGCUUUCCUGUCUAUUUUUCAAUCAUGGUUUUUCAAGACUUAAAUGCGAAAAACACAUUGCUUUUUUGCUUCAAGAAGAACGCCCACACUUUUCUAGAAAAAUCAUAAAUAAAGGUUAGUAUAUAAUUAGCUCCACCUCUCAAAGACACUCUAGAUGGCCCCCACAGAUCAGAAUGAAUAUACUCUAACGUUCCCUUCGUGUUAUGAAUUCCUCUGGUGAAUCAACUCUCUUUUGAUUCCCAAAAAUGCAAUGCUCGUAGAACUUCAGUUUGCAAAUUUCUUACCCAUCAAAAAGUAAUCUUUUGUUCAAUUCUUCCAUGCCAUUCUCACUUAUAUGCCUUAGGCGUAUAUGCCAAAAUUUAGUAAUAUCAUCAUUAGUCAAGGAAGAGGAUGCGACAGCUGGAUCACCAGUAACUGUAGAACCCUACAAAACAUAUAACUUGACAGUCUUUCUCUGCCCUUUCAUCACAAUGAGGGAACCUUUGGAAAUAUUAAAAACCCCACUUUCAGUUGUGUAUUUGUACCCUUUUGAAUUAAGAAGACUUAACGAAAUUAAAUUUCUCUUCAAUUCUGGAACAUGUCGUACGUCACUAAGUGUUCUGACAACUCCGUCAAACAUCUUAACUUUAAUUGUUCCAACAUCUGUAAUUCUAUAUGAAGAAUUAUUUCCCAUCAAUACAACACCUUCAGACACUUUUUCGUAAGCUGUAAACCAAUCUCAACUAGAACUCAAGUAAAGAAAGCUGCCCGAAUCAAGGAUCCAUUCCUCGCUCACUUUAGAAUUGUUGACAGAAGCAAAAAGAAGUUCACCAUCGUUGUAGUCUUCUACAAUAUCAACGUUACCAAUUUUUUUUUAUUUUUUCCAUUUUGAUUCGCAAUCUUCCUUUUGAUCUUGUUCUAUAGCUUAUAACACUCAGAUUUAAUGUGUCCUUUCUUCUUACAGAAGUUACAAGUUUUACCUUUAUUUGAAGACUUCGAUCUACCCUUUGAUUUACCAUGAAGAUUUCGUUCCUGUGUCCUUCCACGAUCAUCAUUAACAUUCUGAUAUUGUCUUCCACAAACAAUAAGACCCUCUCUCUGAAUUCAGUUUUAACCAUAAAAUGCUUUAUCUUAUAAUACGAGGUUAAAGAAUCAUAAAUCUCAUCAAGUGUGAAAGACUCGCGACUAUAUAAAAUCGUAUCUCUAAAGGUUGAAUAAGAUGGGGGCAACGAAUAAAUUAGAAUUAACCCUAGUUCUUUCUUGUCAUAUUGAACCUUAAUGGCCUCUAAGUUUAAGAGAAUUUCUUUAAACAAUAUUAAGAGUUCGUGCACAGAUGCACCUUCCUCCAAACGAUGAGCAUAAAGAUGCUACUUCAUAUGCAACUUGCUAGUUACAGUUUUCGACAUAUAUAUUUGUUUCAACCUCUUCCAUAAUCCAGUAGCGAUCUUCUCUUUCAUCAUAUCUUGCAAAUUUUUUGUUAGAAAAAUGUAAAUGUAAUUGUGUUAACGCCUUUCGAUCCUUAUGCUUCUUCUUUUGCUCCGUCAAUGUUGAAGGCAUCUUAUCUACCCCUAGUAGGGCUUCCUCUAAGUCUAUUUAUGCAAGAAUUGCCUACAUCUUUAUUUGCCACAACGCAAAUCUGAUGUUGCGAUCCAACAAUGAAAUUUCAUACUUUAAAGACAUUAUUAUCGUGAUUGAGAUGAAAACUUAAAAGCUCAGAUACCAAUUUGAAAAAUAGAUUGUCGAUAAUGACAAUAUAUCUCAAAGAAAAAAGAGAAAUAAAAAUAAAUAACACACAGAUUUUACGUGAAAAUCCUUUCAGGAAAAAAAACCACAGGCAGAGAAGAAGAAAAUUCACUAUGUCGAAUUCAAUAAUUACAAGAGGAGUAGAUUAUGUCUAUUUAUAAGCUUGUAAAACCAUCUUCUAGUAAGAUUGAAACACCUUAUUCUAAUCAAUUUCAAAUAGAUAGAGUUUAAUAAGGUUUAAAAAACUUAUUCUAAAAAUAAAAUAAAUGAAGUAUAAUUCUAUAGGGAUUUUACUUUUAUUUUAUUUUACCACUAUAUUUGAUUUAAAUAAUGAUUCGGGUCACUUAAUUCUAACACUUACUCAACUUUCCAGGCUCAAAUUGCUUAAAUUGUCAGGUUGCAAGAUGCUUAAAUCGUUGCCUGAGCUACUAAGAAGUAUAACAGUUGUGAGUAUAGAUAGUUGUUCUUCACUUGAAGUAGUUGCAAGUCCAUCAAUAGUUUGCAAUUUAAUGCAUUCAGGUGCCGUUAAAGCCAUUAACUGCUUCAAAUUGGCUGAGAAUAUCAAUGCAUUAACACUGCUGAAAAACAUCUUAAGGUUGAUUAUCUCUUUUUUCUCCCUUACAAAAUCUCAUACAUUUUACCAAACGACUUGUGUUCUAUUUUGCAAGCAUUGGCAAAUUCAAAAGAAAAGUUUGAUAUUAUGAUGCCCGGAAGUGAAAUCCCAGAAUGGUUUAGCCAACAAAAAAGUGACUCUUCAAUUAAGAUACCCCUACCUAUCAACCUUCGGAAAGAUAGUCAAUGGAUUGGAGUUGCUUGUUGCUGCAUUUUUGUCAAUAAUGAUCCUUCAAUGGAUGACGAGAUUUUACGUUGUGUAGCAUUUACCUGUUGUAGAAAUUCUUGAAAACCUUCUAUGAAAGAUAAGUAGAGAGACCAACAUGCUAAGAAAGCACAAGUGUCUGGUUGUCCCUAAUGAAAAUUGACAGGUUUCGGCCGUCAAAACAAAUAUGCACCCUUAAAUCCUGACCUCCGGCUGAAAUGUUAACAUCGUAGUUGCUUAAAGAAACUUGCUUGGUUGAUUGGAUCCUGUUUAUGUUUAACCCAAUAUGGUUGUCAUCCAUAUCUUGCUCGUUGCUCUUUCUGACAUCAAAUUCCACCGCCACCACACUGGCUUGAUUGAGAAGAACCAUUUGUGUUCUCAUUUACCAUCCCCAGCCACUGUCCUUGGCUGUUGUCCAGUAGGCUGGAGUUGUUUAUUAAAAAGGCAACACCUUCGCCACCACAAGAGGUUUGAUUGAGGCUAUUGAGGACGAACUCACAUGGAAAGAAGCAAUAGUGGUGUGGUUGCCUUUCUAAAGCUGAAAUGGUUUCUUAUACAGAGCUCGUCUAGACAAAUUUUCCAUGGAACCUCCAUAACAUCUCCAGUAGCUUGGAUGGUUCCAAGAACUAUGUAAGAAUUCCUACUCAAGAUAAGUUGGCUUUAACCAUAUUUCUGGAAAGUUGAAAAUUUGAACUGAAAAGGCCUUCUAUUAUAUAUCAAAAAAUUUAAAAUUUUUUAUUCAUAUAACAUAGUUUUUAAAACAUUUAAAAUUUUAGUCACUCAUUUUUACAAAAUGUGUACGUUUUAAUUGGGUUUACAUUUUUUUUAAUUUUAUUUUCAUUAUAUGUAUUCACUUACAUCUAUAUUUUAUUGUAGGUUGAAGUAAAUUUAAUUAAAUUAAUACCGAAAUGUGGAAUAAAAUGAAUAUAUUUUGUGACGAAACAGGUAAUAAUAAAGUGAAUCCUUUAAUAAGGAUUGAUCAUAAUUUCAGCUGUGAAAUGGUAAAAUUAACAUAUUUUAAUCUCAUUCUUAAUGCGUUUUUGGAUGAAUAUUUAUGCAAAUUGGUGAAUUUGAUGCUCCUAAUCCUUUGAAUUAAUGUUUUUAUAUUUAGGUGAACAUUAGGGAGCAGAAGAAGCGAAAAACGAGUGAAAAUCAGAGAAAAAGAGUAAAUUUCAGGAGCCACACGGGUUGGGCACACGCCCUUAUGAGCCACACUGGCUGGACACACGCCUAUGUGCCAGCCCGUGUCGAUUUCGCACUUUGCUUCCCAAACACACGGAAAAACAUAAUUUUUAGGCUUUCUAAACAUUCUAAAGUCUAUAAAUACCAAAUAGAAGAAGAAAUAGGGGAGCCAUUAGAGAAGGUCAAAGAAAACCCUCAAGGAACACCAUUGGAGUUAAUUCCCUAGAUACCUAGGGAGGAUGAAACCUAUGACGAAUUCUAUUAUCUAAUAUCUAAUUUACAUGAUAAAUACUUUAUUCUUAUUUUCAAUUAUGCGUGUUUAUUUCUUAUUUUAAUAUUUUCGGGAUAUUAAUUCAUGUUUAAUGUGCUUAAUUCAAUGGAGCAAAAGUCCCUGUGUAAGAGUAAAUUUAGCAUAACUGAGUGGACUUGCAUGCAAUCCUAUAAAUAGGACGACAGAAAUCUACCUGAUUAGAGUCAAAUCUAAUGGGGGAAUCCAUAGAUCGAGUUACUGUGACAAUAGGAGUUUUAAUUAGAAAGAGAUUUCAAUUAAUUAACCUCAAGUCCGUUGUUCUUACUCUCGAAAUAGAUAUUAACAUAAUUUAAGAAUUUCUACGAAUCAAGACACCAAGUGAAUAAAUCGUUUAAAUCAAAUUAAUAAAAUUAAUAAUACUAGAAGGAAUCUAGAUAGAUUGCGCAUUUUUACUUGUAAGGUUAUUAUAUAAUUUAUUAUAUAAUUAUGUUAUUAUACUAUUUUAAAUAGGGUUUUUGAAUUUUUUUUUGUAAAAUAUAAAUUUACAUAGUAAUUUAAUUGUAAUGUAAAUAAAUCCUUUUAAAUAAGGUAUAAUGAUAAAAAAAAUUUUCUUAUUGUUUAUAAAAUUUUAUUUUGAGUCAAAUUAUAAAUUUUUUUAAUGCAAAAUGCUGAUUAAACCAUUGACGUGAUAUGAAUAGUGAACUAUUAAACUUUUCAAGGGUAGUCUUAAUUGGAUCAUCUUUCCACAAUAGCCUUAUUUAAGUUUAUUAUGUUUUCUCAUUUGCUUCUCAUUUAUGAUGGUCUUCAACAGCUCUUGUAUAAGGUGAAAUGCGGCUGAGAUGGGAUUGCAUGUGGGAUUCUCGAGGGUGGAGAUCGAAGGAGACUCCUUAUCUGUGAUUCGGAAGCUGCAAACAAAGGGAGUUGAAAGGUCAGUGAUAGGAGCCUAUAUCUCAAAUACAGGGGUAUCAAAUCUGUGUCUUUAAACAUGUGCCAAAACAAGCAAACGGAGUUGCACAUCUAUUGGGUACAGAGGGAUUAAAGAGAGAUGAAGAAACUUAUCUUGUUGGCGCGGUUCCUUCAUACGCGAAAGUGGCAGCGGAAGAGGACCGUCAACAGUUGGGCUCACUUUGUCCCGCAGGUUGAAGAUCCACUGCUUAGAAAGAAGAUAAAAUGGGAUUUUACUGUGGGCAAACAGAUCGGAGAAUAGAUGGACUACUGGGUUUCUAAGUUUCGACGGAAGAUUGGUGUUUUGAAGUGAUGAAAUGCAGAGUUUAGCCAGACCUGAAGGGUUUCUUCCAGUUGCAUCGGAAAGAUCUAGAGCAGACAUUUUGGUGGUUAUCAACGAAACAAAGAAGGCAUCUGAAGGGUUUCGCUUUCUCAGAUGUUUAGGGAAAAGGAAAGUCUGCCUGGGUGGUUGGAUUAUCCUACUUUAUAAUGUCUGUGCUCUAAAUGAUUUGGAAUUUGUUUUAUUGAUAUAACUGCUACAGAUUGACUGAGAACAUCAAUCUAUUCACAUUGCUGAUAAAACAUCUUAUGGUCAACUAAAUCCCAGAAUGGUUUAGCGAACAAGGAUGAUUCUUCAAUCAGGAUAACUUCACCUCUCACUAUUCAGAUAGAUAAUGAAUGGAUUGGAGUUGCUUCACGUCGCAUUUUUGACAUUGAUGAUGCUUCCAAGGAUAUGGAGGCUAUCCUUUUUACAGCCAAUAUCCAUUGUAGAAAUGUUGGAGAAGCUGGUUGUAAUAUGCUUGAGCUGUCUUUCACAACCCAAUUGGUCACAGUCUUAAAGGUGAAGAAAUGUGGUGGUAGAAUAGUGUAUAAGAAAGAUUUGGAAGAAAUAAAAGAGUUGCAAUGCCAUAGCACUCAAUCUUCUCCAAAUUUUGAACAUAUCCCCCACCACUCUUCUCACAACGAUGGAUCAGUAGGUAGCACUUCCCUUAUAAAACCCGAACGUAAUAAGGAGAGGGAGGAAGAAGGGCUACAACCAAAACGGAUGCAAAAAUUCUUCAAUUUUAUAAUUGCCGAUCGAAGAACAAGCAUUAAUUGUGAUAAACUGCUUCACUAACUUUGUCCUGUUAAUUCCUUUUCAGACAUUUUUAGCUAUGUUAUUUACAAUUUUUUAUUUGAUUUAAAGUAUUCAUUCCUUUUCACAUAAUUGGAAACUUAGUAUAUAUAAACUGAAAAACGACAUGGGACAUAAGGUAUUUCCAAUUUUCUACAAUGUGGAUCCAUCCGAUUUAAGAAAACAGAAAGAGAAAGUUGAGGAGGUGUAAUAGCCCGAUUUUAGGCCUAGUCGGAACAGUGGUUUCGGGACCACAAAUCCGACGAAAAAAAAAAUGUAAUGGCUUGAAUUUUCAGAGGUGUCGGAACGGUGAUUCGAGAUCACUAAAUUCGACAAAUGGGUAGAAAAUAUUAUUAAUUUAGUAAGUAUAAGUUAAAUGUGAAGUUAGGAAAAUUUUUGAAAUAGUGAAUAGUGCACUAGAAAUAAAUAUUAAAAUAAUUAGAAUCAAAAUGAGGUAUCAAGACCUCGGGGAUUUUAAACCGAGCCAUAAAUAUUUUUAUAAAUAUUUAUGGAGUGUUAAAAAGUUAGUAUUAAAGUUUCGUUAAGAAAUUUUAAAGUUCCGAUAAUUAAUUGAACAAAAAGGACUAAAUUGUAACAAAUGCAAAAUUAUAGGAAAUAAUUAAAUAGCUUAAAUGAUAAAAGGAAGAGGGCUUAAAAGGUAAAUAGACCCAAGGCCUAUUUGGGCUGGACGGCAGGGGCAUGAAAUCAGCAGAAAGUAAAGAGAAUUAAGGGUAAAAUUGGAAUAUUGCAAAAUUUGCUUAAUAAAGUUAGGACCAAAGUGGAAUUAUCUAGAUUUCUCUUCAUUUUUUUCUGAAUUCUCAUCAGCUAAAACACCAUGGAAGGGCUUCUUCAAGCUGGUUCUUCAUAUUUUUAUUACAAGUAAGUUCAAUUCUUGACUAUUUCUUGAAAUUUUUGUAUUUUUAUGACUUUUACAACUAGGCCCACUUGUUAAAUUCAUUAGUUUUUGAUUUUAUGAAAGAAGUUGAAAGUUGAUAUGAAUAUGUGCUGGAAGUAUAUGAUGAUUUAUCAUGAAAUUAGAGCUUUAAAUUGUUCAUAUGCUGAUUUUAUUGAAAGAAUUGAAUAGAAAGUGAAUGUUUGGGACCUAAUAGUAAAAGAGUUUGAAGAUAGAGUUAUAUGUGGAAAUUCUGAAUUUCAAUAGUUGUGUAACAACUUAUAAUGCCUAGUAAAGUAAUAAUAGAGAAAAUUAGAUUAAUUGAGGGGUUAAUUGAGAAAGGACCGAAUUGUAUAAACUGUGAAAUUUGGGGCAAAAUGGAAAUCGNNNNNNNNNNNNNNNNNNNNNNNNNNNNNNNNNNNNNNNNNNNNNNNNNNNNNNNNNNNNNNNNNNNNNNNNNNNNNNNNNNNNNNNNNNNNNNNNNNNNNNNNNNNNNNNNNNNNNNNNNNNNNNNNNNNNNNNNNNNNNNNNNNNNNNNNNNNNNNNNNNNNNNNNNNNNNNNNNNNNNNNNNNNNNNNNNNNNNNNNNNNNNNNNNNNNNNNNNNNNNNNNNNNNNNNNNNNNNNNNNNNNNNNNNNNNNNNNNNNNNNNNNNNNNNNNNNNNNNNNNNNNNNNNNNNNNNNNNNNNNNNNNNNNNNNNNNNNNNNNNNNNNNNNNNNNNNNNNNNNNNNNNNNNNNNNNNNNNNNNNNNNNNNNNNNNNNNNNNNNNNNNNNNNNNNNNNNNNNNNNNNNNNNNNNNNNNNNNNNNNNNNNNNNNNNNNNNNNNNNNNNNNNNNNNNNNNNNNNNNNNNNNNNNNNNNNNNNNNNNNNNNNNNNNNNNNNNNNNNNNNNNNNNNNNNNNNNNNNNNNNNNNNNNNNNNNNNNNNNNNNNNNNNNNNNNNNNNNNNNNNNNNNNNNNNNNNNNNNNNNNNNNNNNNNNNNNNNNNNNNNNNNNNNNNNNNNNNNNNNNNNNNNNNNNNNNNNNNNNNNNNNNNNNNNNNNNNNNNNNNNNNNNNNNNNNNNNNNNNNNNNNNNNNNNNNNNNNNNNNNNNNNNNNNNNNNNNNNNNNNNNNNNNNNNNNNNNNNNNNNNNNNNNNNNNNNNNNNNNNNNNNNNNNNNNNNNNNNNNNNNNNNNNNNNNNNNNNNNNNNNNNNNNNNNNNNNNNNNNNNNNNNNNNNNNNNNNNNNNNNNNNNNNNNNNNNNNNNNNNNNNNNNNNNNNNNNNNNNNNNNNNNNNNNNNNNNNNNNNNNNNNNNNNNNNNNNNNNNNNNNNNNNNNNNNNNNNNNNNNNNNNNNNNNNNNNNNNNNNNNNNNNNNNNNNNNNNNNNNNNNNNNNNNNNNNNNNNNNNNNNNNNNNNNNNNNNNNNNNNNNNNNNNNNNNNNNNNNNNNNNNNNNNNNNNNNNNNNNNNNNNNNNNNNNNNNNNNNNNNNNNNNNNNNNNNNNNNNNNNNNNNNNNNNNNNNNNNNNNNNNNNNNNNNNNNNNNNNNNNNNNNNNNNNNNNNNNNNNNNNNNNNNNNNNNNNNNNNNNNNNNNNNNNNNNNNNNNNNNNNNNNNNNNNNNNNNNNNNNNNNNNNNNNNNNNNNNNNNNNNNNNNNNNNNNNNNNNNNNNNNNNNNNNNNNNNNNNNNNNNNNNNNNNNNNNNNNNNNNNNNNNNNNNNNNNNNNNNNNNNNNNNNNNNNNNNNNNNNNNNNNNNNNNNNNNNNNNNNNNNNNNNNAUAUGAAUGAUUUGUGUAUAAUUGGUCAUAUGUUUGAUUAUAAUUGAUAGAUGAUGAAAUAGAAAUGAUGCUUAAAUUUGUGCAUUAUUGGACAUGGUUUAAGCUCAUGUGUGAAAAUAAAGUUUCAUAGCAUGUGUGUAUGGUAUAUUCGGUAUAUGAUUUGGCAUGAAAUAAUGUCAUGAAUGGUUUAUCAUGUGAUUAGUUCCAAAAAGAGUUAUGUUUCAAUACACUAGCUUGCAACUAUGGUUGAAUGAUAUGUUUAUAUCUUGUGUAAUGUGCAUAGGAAACAAGUGUGGAAGAUAAUGAAAUAGUAAGUUCAUAUGGCUGAAAUUUAAUGAUUAAAUGUUAAUUUCAUGAAUUAUAUAAUGUAUGAUGAAAUGUAUUUAUUGUUGAAAUGAGAAUAAAAUAAAAAUGUGAAAAGUUAUAGAAACAUGUUAAUUAUUUUGAAAGUUUUUAUUUAGAUGAAAUUUUAUAACUCGGUUAAAUACGUUUACAAGUGUAUGUGUUUUGGUAAUGCCUCGUACCUUAUUCCGGUGUUGGAUACGGGUAAGGGGUGUUACAGGAGGCCUUUGCCAAACACGAAGAGAGAUACAAGGAAGAUAGAGACAAGAUCCAAAGGUGGCGAAACGCUUUGAUUCAAGUGGCUAACAUUAAGGGAUGGCAUUUAAAUAACAGGUAAUUCUUUCUUUUCUUCUCUACUUUCUAGUUUAUUUGAAAAGUGUCAUAUUUCAAUAAAAGAGCAAAUUUUGUAUUCUGGUUCCGCAACAGAUCUUGCUUUCUUAUUCUUGGUUUUUGUUUGCUUCCAUUAUGAUUCAAUGAGAUACAAAAUGCAUUUGAAAGAUAUCAACAAAAUUUUAUUCAAAAAAAUUAAAAUUUCUUUCUUCACAGGCACGAAUCAGAAUUUAUUAGAGACAUUGUUAUGAAGAUAUCAGCAAAACUAUGUCAAACAUAUCCAGUUACUCAUAGCGACUUAGUUGGAAUUAGUGAACGCUUGGAGGAUUUGUAUUUGAAAAUAAAUAUUGGGGAAAUGAUGUCCGCAUUAUAGGAAUUUGCGGAAUGGGUGGCAUCUGUAAAACGACACUCGCAAGAGUUGCUGACACUCAAAUGUCACCUCAUUUUGACGGUAAAAGCUUUAUUGCUGAAAUUCGAGAAGUUUCAGACAAAUGAGGACUAGUUUUCUUUACAAAAACAACUUCUUUCACAGAUCUUUCAUGAUGAAUGCUUCAACUUUUUCAAUGUUCACGAAGGGAAUGCCAUAAUUAACCAUAGCUUGUCUCACAAAAAGGUUCUUGUUGUUCUUGAUAAUGUUGAUAACAUACAACACUUAAAAUGCUUGGUUGGAAGGUGUGAUUGGUUCGGAUUAGGGAGUAGAAUCAUUGUAACAACAAGAGACGAACAUUUGCUUCGAUGUUGCUAAGUUGAUGAUGUGUAUAUGCCCACAACACUGAAUCCCAAAGAUGCACUUCAACUUUUCAAUUUGAAAGCUUUCCAUAGUGAUACAGUGUCGAAAGAUGAUUUCAUUGAACUUUCUAAACAUCUUGUAAAUUAUGCCGGUGGGCUCCCUCUAGCUCUUGAAGUUUUGGGUUCCUUUUUGUGCGGUAGAGAUGCUGCUCAAUGGAGAAGUGCGAUUGAAAGACUAAAAAGAGAUUCUAAAAAAGAAAUCCUCGAUAAACUUUGAAUCAGUUUUGAUGGAUUGGAAGAAAGAGGGAAGAAUAUAUUUCUAGAUAUAGCAUGCUUAUUCAAUGGGGAGAAGAAAGAUUUUGUAAUGAAAGUAUUGAAUGGUUGUGAGUUUUUUCCCGAUAUUGGAAUUGAUGUUCUCAUUAAGAAAUCUUUAAUAAAAGUCGAUGAUGGCAACCAAUAUUUGUGGAUGCAUAGCUUGUUGCAAGAAAUGAGAAGAAAAAAUGUUACAGAAAAAUGUGUUGAUGAACUUGAAAAACGUUCCAGAUUGUGAGAGGAAACGAAUGUCCAUCAUAUCCUAACAAAAAAUACUGUAAGCCAUUCAACAAAAUUUACAUACUAUUUCUUUUCCUUUUUAUAGAAUAUCUAAUCAAUAUAUAAUAUAAAUUCAAAGCUUAGUCUAAUUGGUAGAUAUGACGAUCUUAAAAAGUGAUAUUUGGUACUUUUGAGAUGAAUUAUGUUUGAUGUUUACAAAUAUUAAAAAGAAUUUGUAGAAAUAAAUAUUUAAUUUCAUUGCAUUAAAAUUUCAAUAGUUUUAUCUUACAGGAUGCACCAUUUAUUUUGUUUUUUUAAUUUUUGUUCUUGAAUUUUUUAGGCUACAGAAAUGAUUGAAGGCAUAAUCAUUGAUAAUAAAAGGUAAUACAUAUAACAUGAUAUCUUUGUGUACUGUAAAUAAUAAUUUUUUUAAACUCCAUAUUUCAAUGUUUAAUUAUGAAAUUUAGCUAGCAACAUAGUACUCUUUCAAAAGAAUCAAUAGAGAAAUAUGUAUUUUUUAAAUAUUAAUGGUAUAUAUUUAAUUAGAGGUGUUUAUGAGCUGGAUCAGGCCUAUGCAAGAUAUUUAGAUUAUUUUUCUAAACUAGGGCUUGAAUCGAAAAAUGGGCUUAUUUUUUACCCAAUCCCGACCCGAUUUAAGAAAAGUAAACUCAAGCCCAAUCUAGACCAUCCAUAUUUGAUUUUUUUUAGAUUAAUUUUAUUUAAAAUUAUUUUUAAAAUAUAUUAUAUUGAAUACACUAAAAAAGUUCAAAAUAAAUGUUUCUAACACAUUAAAAAGUAUUUAUAUUAAAAAAUACUACCGUAAAUAUAAUAAAUAUUUUAUUAAAUUAAAGAAUUAUGCAUUGUUUUGAUUUUGGAAGGUUGUACCAAAUUAGUGGAUGUUCAUCCAUCAAUCGGAGUGGUUAAGAGCCUUAAACUUUUGAAUUUAAGAGACUGCAAAAGUAUUGGGAGUCUUCCGACCAAAAUUGGAAAUUUUUUCGGGUUGCUCAAGUCUUGUAAGGUUUCCGGAGAUUGAUGGAAAAAUGGAACGUCUAAAAACUCUUGAUCUUUCAGGUUGUUAUAGAGUGGAAAAUUUAUCGGAGAAUUUGCAGCAAGCAAAGUUUUUUGAAGAGCUCGACUUGAGUGAAACAGCCAUAACAGAACCACCAUCCUUCAUUUUUCAAUUUAAAAAUCUUAAAGUUCUGUCUUUCAAUGGGCGCAAGGGACCAUCAUAUAAGUUACUACCAAAUUUGCCUUCUCUUUUCAAGGUAACCCAAGGAAGAAGGACGAAUCCCGUGCCUCGGAUGUUGCCUUUGUUGUCAGGUUUGAGUUCUUUAAGAGAGCUAAAACUAAGGGACUGCAAUCUUUGUGAAGGAGAUAUUACACGUGAUAUUUCUGGUCUAUCCUGUUUGGAUAAACUAGAUCUUAGUGGUAACAAUUUCAUCAGCGUACCUGCAUCUCUUACUCGACUCUCGAAGCUUGCAAAUCUUAUAUUGUCAAAUUGCAACAUGUGCACUCUUGGUGAAGCAGAUAUUCAUAGUGAUAUUUCUUGUCUAUCCUCUUUGAAAAGUCUUAAUCUUAGUGGUAACAAUUUCAUCACCAUUCCUUUGGCUCUUACUCAACAUUCCGGGCUGCAAUCGCUUGUAUUGUCAGAUUGCAAGAUGCUUAAAUUGUUGCCUGCGCUAUCAACAAAUAAACAAGUGCA
rnacentral:lncRNA from 1 species